rnacentral:lncRNA from 1 species
AGUCAUUUUCAAUUAAUUUUUUUCAAAACCAUCACCAAAAUUAAAACUAUUUUUAAGUAUGUAUAUAAUGACCGUUUCAUGUAAAAACCAUCAUUACAAAUUAACACUAUUUUAAUUACACAUAUAAUGACCGCUGUAUAUAAAAAGAGUCAUUAAAAAUUAAGACUAUUUUAAUUAUUUAACUAUACAUAUAAUGACCGUUGUAUAUAAAAACCGUCAUUAAAAAUUGUCAUUUUUAAUGACAGUUCAUUUAUUAAAACUGUCAAUAAAAUUAAGACUAUUUUUAACUACACAUAUAAUGACUGUUGUAUAUAAGAACCGUAAUUAAAAAUGGUCACUUUUAAAGACGGUUUUUAUAAAUGAACCGUCAUUAAAAUUAAGUGUAGAUUUUGUUUGACAUUUAAUGAUGGUCCUAUUACAUAACGGUCAUCAUAAGUGCUACAAAUUAUAACUGUUUGCAUAAUAACCGUCAUAACUUAUGGGUCAUUCUUUUAUAUUUUUGUAGUAGUGAAUUUUCUUGUAGUUUAAAGUCUAUAGUAAACGACAUCGUUUAGAAGUUAAAUAAAUAUUUUUAUUUUUAAAAUUUUUUAAAUUAUGAAAAAUCAACAUAUGGUGCCGUUUCAUGCCCAAAUUGAUCUAUCCUAAACUCACCGUUUCAUUAAAUAUUACUAUGCUAUCAUAUUUCUAUGAUAUAUAAAAACUCUAUCACAAUUUGUCAUGCCUUUAUGAUGUAUGAAAAUUCUGUCAUGUGUCUAUCAUAUUCUUGUGAUAAAUAACUAAUUUUCUAAUAUCUAUCACAAAAAUUCUGUCAUUUUAGCCCAUUAUUCUAGUAGUGAUAUUUAUCCAACUGGACUACAAAGUAAUUGAAAUUAAUUGUAACACCUAUGGACAAAACUUGGACCCAGUGUUAUUUUAUAAUCAAAAUUGAAACCUAUAAUUACAGUAAACUUGAAUCUGAAUCAAAUGGGCAAAUGGGGACAAAUGCCUUCUCUAGGCUCUAACCAUGAAACAAUAAUCAAAUCGUCAGACUUCUAAAAUAAGCCAAUGACACAUUACUCACAAACCCAUCUAUUAACAUCUUCAAAGCUUUGGCACUGAAACUUAAAAGAGAGAUUUGUGUUAAAUAGCAUUGAAAGUAAACACAACAGCAAUUAUAUAUAGCAAAGAUUAGUGGGAAAAAAGAUGUAUUAAAAUUGUUCUUGACUCCCAAUUCUGCCCGAAUAAAAUAAAUGAGCAUAACAAGCAACCGGACCACAGAGAAAGAUAUCUCCAACACCAUAAGCGGUGGCUUCUGAAAAUGCAUUCUGGUUGCAGCUCUAGUUCUUCUCACGGUACAAGUAUGCGUACUCAUGGUAACAGCAAAUCCAAAUGCAGCAAGAAGGAUGCUCCUCUUCCCAAUCAACAAAAAAGUAUCGUCAUUCAUUAUGUGAAAAAUUUUAAGAUCAGAAAUUGGAGGCCAAUUGUGUUCGGAACUCUGAUAUUUUACUUCGAUCUAUGCAAAACCAAAAAUGAAAAUGAAUACUCGAGCAAUAUUCAAAUAUCGAAAGAGCAUAUUUUCAUAAUUAAGUGAGGAAAAAAAUUUUCAGUAUCAAUUAUCAUCAACGGGUUCUUGAUGUUAAGAAUAAGCAUUAAAAUGAGCUGUUCAGGUCGUCUGAUGAAUCAGCAAGCUGUUAAGAAGGCUGUUGCUUUGCUUAAGAAGCCUCUGGACAUGUAUAUAUAAAUCCCUGUAAUCUCUUGUUACAAGCGGCCGAGGUCACGCUCAUGAUUUUGUUGCUUAUAGAAGCUCCUGGACAUAAACCCCCGUAAUCUCAGUUCAUUUUGUAGCUUAAUGAAAUGAAUUUGGCUCACUAUUCUUCUAUCAAAACUUUUAGUAUUUUCCCUUCACCGCAAACAAAUACAGCAACAUCUUUUAACUCUUGAAAUCUUCCAGCUCCGGUGCAAGCCUCAGUCACAAUGUAUUCACUCGAUGGCACAUCUUCACCCCGACUUUUCGGUAAAGUGAAUUAAAGCUUUCAGAACGACGCAUAAAACUUUAAAUUGUUCCUGUAACACACAGAAAGUCUUUAGUUCGGUAUAGUAAAUUCAAUUUCUUAUAAUCUCAUUAAUAUACUUUUUGAAUUUUAUUGUGAUCUUCAUUAGGCGUCAAUUUUUAUUUUUCAUUUAAAAAAAAAAGCACUUUCGGAGUCAUUGUAACAUCUUUUUCUGUGUAAAUAUCUUUUUCUUUUAAUUUAAAAUUAGAUAUAUCAAACUUAUUCAUCGGGGUUUUGUUACAUUUCCCUUAUUUUCAAUAAUUAAUUUGUUAUCUAAUUGGUCAAUAAAUUUGCUUCUUGUUUGUCCCGUACACUAAUAUAGAUGCUGUUUAUUUCUUAGGUUUUGAGAUAGGAAUGACGAAGGACAGAUGCAGGGGCACCGUUUUAAGUUAACCAAAGUUAAAGAUGAUUCGAACCCAUAGUUGUUGCAUAAAAACAUUUGUUAUCUUUACUUUUGUUGUCAAAAUUAUUAUUAUUAUAAUUUUUUUAAUGGUAGAAGUAGAACCUAAUCCCCCACAAUUAUCAUUUAAUAACAUGUUAAUUACCAAACACUAUUAUUUUUUUAUUCAUACCUAGUAGUGAUUUAAAUUUGAAAAGCGACAAAACCAGAAACCAGUUUUUAAUAUAUAAUAAACCAGUUAAUAUUUUUAUUUUUUGAGGAGAAAUGUAAGGAUCCUACAAAAAAAAAAAACCACCAACAUUACAAUGACAGAAUUAGAAACGAAAAUCACCACAACAUUAUAAUUGCAUUCAAUUUCUACGUCUCCUCCUCCUCCUCGUUGCCUUUUGCUGCGUUCCCAACUUCUCCAGAAUCCAUCCGAUAAUUCCUGUGCUGAAGUUGAACCCGAGAACCAAUCCUGCCACAAGUCCGCCAGCGUAGCCAAUCAGAAUGAUUUUCCAAUCAGAUGCGCCUGAAAACAGAGACUCCUCUGAGCCCUCAGUAUGAUCUUCAUUUGCUGGAGCUUUAUUACUCUCACAUCCUUUGGACAAAGGCCUUCCACACAAUCCUGAGUUGCCGUCGAAAGAAGUAUUGUCAAAUGUAGCAAAUUGCUUUCCUUGUGGUAUCAGUCCUGUAAGGUGAUUGUCCGAGACAUUGAAGAAUUCGAGAAAUGUGAGCUAGUUGUUGAGGAAUCUGUCCUGAAAACUUGUUGUUUGAGAGAUCCAAUGAUUCCAAAUUUGUUAGAUUGCCCAAACAUGACGGAAUAUGGCCCUGGAGAUUAUUGUUCUGGAGGUUUAGAACUUGAAGUCCCUUUAAAUUUGCAAUCGAUGCUGGAAUCGCCCCAUCAAAACUAUUGUUUGAGAGAAUAAUUCCCGCUAGGAUAUCCGGAAUCUUGUUAUAUGUCAUCAUUCGCCCUUUUCUGUUCAUUGUCAUUGACUAGUCGUAAGUGCUAAGUAUAUCAUUGGACGUUUGUCCAUUUGGAGAAAGCACAUCUUGCAGAUAUCUUAGCUCACUUGUAUUGACAAUUUUCAUGGCAUUCCAACACAGGAAACUCUUUGAUGGAAGCGUUCCAGUAAAUCUGUUGUUAGAUAGGUCAAUAAUGCGGAGUUUAGAAAAUCCACAAUCAGUUCUGGGUUCUUUUAUAAUGCCAUAAAAUAUGUUAGAUCGUAGGAUGAGAACAUUCAAGUUUGGAAGAGUUCCUAACCAAGAGGGAAAAGUGUCACUAAUCUGGUUGUUCCCAAGACCAAGAAAUUCCAACUUUGAACAGUUGAUCAAUGAUCUUGGAAUUCUUCCUUGAAAUAGAUUAUGGCUUAAAUCAAUCACGCCUAAUCUACUUUCUUUAAUGAAAGUAUUUGGGACGGUCCCAAAGAAGUUGUUCCCCUGCAAGUCGAGCACUGAAAGUUCAUCACUGAAAUUGCCUAAACACUGAGGAAGCAAGCCACUUAAGUUAUUGUGAGACAAAACAAGGCUUUCAAGAAUAUUCAAAUUGCAUAUCCAUGAUGGAAUUUCCCCUGUUAAGUUAUUGUUUGAAGCUAGAUAGUGAAUGGUUCCGGGGGGUGGAACUGGGAAUGGUCCUUGUAAAUUAUUAGAGCUAAGAUCAAAAGUCAGCAAAUCACCUUUAUUCCCGGGAAGAACAACAGGAUACUGAUCAAACCUCGUUAACAAGUUAUGCGAAAUGUUCAAGGCAUUGAGAUUCUGCAUAUUGGGGUCUAACAACCAUUUAGGUACUUUUUCCUGAAUUCUAUUGUUAGAAAGAUCCAUGAACCGCAAAUGAUGUUGGUUUUGCAAGAAAUUAGGAAAUUUAGUAAGAUUGCAUGAACGCAGUCCUAUAUACUUAAGUUUCUGUGAAGUGGUAUCAGAAGUGGCUUUGGUGAGCACUGACAACCUAUUUAAUGAGAGACCUAAAAAUUCCAAAUUUUUCCAGCUAGUAAGUAAAACAUCUAACUCUAUCAUUCCUCUAUAAGAAUUUUGAGCAAGGUCAAGGGCGGUAAGUUGGGAAAGAUUCCUAAGUGAAGAUGUAAUUUGACCUGAAAAAUUACACUUAGCGACAUUUAUUGCUUCCAAUGAUCUAAGAUUUCCAAUGGGACCAAGUAGGUCACCUGAAAAAUUAUUCGAUCCAAGAUGCAAAUAUUGUAGCUGGGUGAAAUUACCAAUCGAAUGUGGAACUUUGCCCCAAAAACUAGAUGACCUCAGAUCAAAUAACUUCAAAGAACUAAAAUUUCCAGUGGACCAUGGAAACUCACCCGAAAAAUUAUUGAAUGAAAGGUCAAGUUUUUCCAAAGAAAAAAAUUUCGAAUGGAAGUAGGCAACUCACCAAAAUAUCCAUUUUGUGAAAGGUCAAGUUCUUUCAAAGAACCAAGAUUUCCCAUGGAAAUAGGCAAUUCACCAAAAAAUCUAUUUUGUGAAAGGUCAAGUUCUUUCAAAGAACUAAGAUUUCCAAUGGAAAUAGGCCACUCACUCGACAAAAUAUUUGCAGAGAGAUCAAGUUCUUCCAAUGAAUGAAGUUUACCAACGGAAACAGGUAGCUUACCCUGUAAUUCAUUUAGUGAAAGGUCUAAAUGAAAGAGCUUGGAUAGAUUACCGAGUGAGGAUGGAAUUCUUCCUCAAAUUUGUUAAAAAAGAAAAAAGAAAAAAGAACACUCGAGAUGGACAAACUUGGAAAGGCUGCUGCUAGAGUUGAUAGAACCAAAAAGGCAGCUAUGGGAGAGGUCAAGCUUGAUGACAUGACCAGUGUUCUUAUUGCAAUGAACUCCGUCCCAAGAGCAGCAAUCAACGUUACCUUCUUCUGGCUUCCAUGAUGCCAUUGUAGGACGACAGUCAAAUUUUGAAGCAUAAAAAUCAUUACUGAUGCGGCUUUCUUUGAAUUGCAACAAAGCAGAGCGCUCAUCAUCAUGGCAGAGUGGCGGCAUAGAAGAAGCAGUGAAGUUAGCAAUUGUAAAAUUAAAGAAAAAGAAAGGAAAAACUAACCGUAUGAAUAUUGUGAAUAAACAUAUGGAGGAUAAACCCAUAGUUUUCUCAAAAAUUAAAUUUGUUUAACUUUGUAGAUGUGAAGAAAUUUAAGGAUCUUGGUUUGCUUUUAUAGGCAAAUUGCAGCAAUUCAAACAUUUUAGUCAUUGGACUCUUUUUUUAUUUUUUUUAAGUCAACAAAAGUUAGUCUUAAUAAUAUUUAUUUUUUAUUAUUUGAUAUGAUGUCCCACAAAAAAAAAUUGAUUUAAUGUGUUAUUAACAAUCUAUCCAGAAAAAACAAUUCUUUAAUAGGAUCUAUCGAACUUGACCUAUGUUUAUAUUUCCUUUCAUUUUCUAUAAUUUCAUUUUCUGCAUUAAUUUGCUUCUUUUUGUUUUUUUUUCUCCUUUCCCCGCUUGUAUUUCCCUUCACGGCCAGUUGCGUAUCCUGCAUACUCGAGUUUAUGUGAUUGGCUUGAUGACUUUUCACUACAACUCAAAAAAAAAUUGAACCCAAAAAAGAAAACAAUUUUUUAAAAUAUAACACAGAUAAUAAUGGUGAGAGUAAUUUAGGUCAAUUCAAAAUCGCUAAUUUGGAGUCAGAUUCAUGUAUUAAUUGUAUCAUAAGUUACCAUCUCUGUGUCUAUGGCGUGGCAGAGGCUCACGGAAACUCCAGACUAGUGAGUCUAUCGUUACUGAAAAAUGCAUGAAUGGCAUGGAUGCAAAAGUAAAAAAAUUUGGAACUGAUGAUUAAGCCAUUAGCUAACAAUAAUUAACUUCUGAAGAGGCAACGUCCCACCCAAAAAAAAAAAAGAAAAAAAAAUGAUUUAAUGUGUUAUUAACAAUCUAUCCAGAAAAAAAAAAAAAUUAUUCAAUAGGAUCUAUCGAACUUGACCUGCGUUUAUAUUUCCUUUCAUUUUCUAUAAUUUUUCAUCUAAUGGGUCAAUGAAUUAAUUUGCUUCUUUUUUCUUUUUUUUCCUCCUUUCCCCACUUGUAUUUCCCUUCACGGCCCGUUGAGUAUUCUGCAUACUCGAGGGUAUGUCAUUGUCUUGAUGACUUUUCACUACAACUCUAAAAUUUUCCUCCCCAUGGCAUGUUGAUAUUAACUCCAAAUUAGCAAUAUUAUCACUGUCACUCUUCUUUGUAAACUACGCACUCGUUGGUUGAGUGAUGACACCUCCUCAACUUAAUUAUUCUCAGGGUCAAGAAUUUGAGUUUUACUCCUAGAUUUCUUAGCCGAUCUGCCAAUGCGCCAAUUUGUAAUGAGCUUUAGCUGAUGGUUUCUGAGAUGGGCUCUAAUUAGUGCACCUAAAAUGCAACAAAUAUCUCACGUUAACAACCCAAAGUUCCAUAAUAUCAUGCAAAAUCAUUCUAGAAGUUAAAAUUAGGUGUUAAUCCGAUACAAACACCAGAAAAAUUAAUGAAAUUUGGAUUUACUAAAAUUGCAUGAUUUAUUAAUUUAGAUCAAUUAAAAAUAUUUCAUUUUAUAGUGUCGGAUUCCCUAUAAGUCGUCAUAAAUCAUUAUCCAGACGAUCAAGGCCGGCGGAUAAAGACUCAAGACUAGAAUUAGAAGUCUUCGAGUAUCAAUCAUAUGUCGUGUCAGAAAAUUCUUUCUUAGUUCAAGCCAACUAAAGUUGAAUUCGCCAUAUCAUUAUAAUGGAUGUUAAUAUUGCUAACUUGGAGUCAAAAGUCAUGCGUUGAUUACAUUUGUAUUGUCUGAAUGACUAGGACGUGGCAAAGGCUCAUGGAAUAGAUCUGCUUCUUUUUUCUCCUUUCCCCACUACCACCAGUUCACUUAACUUUUCCUUCACGGCAUGCUGAAUGAGAUCUUCUACUCCAUCAGNNNNNNNNNNNNNNNNNNNNNNNNNNNNNNNNNNNNNNNNNNNNNNNNNNNNNNNNNNNNNNNNNNNNNNNNNNNNNNNNNNNNNNNNNNNNNNNNNNNNNNNNNNNNNNNNNNNNNNNNNNNNNNNNNNNNNNNNNNNNNNNNNNNNNNNNNNNNNNNNNNNNNNNNNNNNNNNNNNNNNNNNNNUUAAAUUGUCAAAAAGACUUGAAUGUUCUUAUCCUAAAAUAAGUUCCAUUAAAACAGUCAUAAUAUUUAUGGCAUGGUCCUACUUAAACCAGUAAAAUCUCUUGAACUAAUUUAAAGGUUCAAUCCUGCUCACAUGAGUAAGGAGAGGAUAGGGUAUUUGUUUAAAUUUUAUUGUAUUGAAUUUCGCACUUUCAAUACUUCUACGUAGUUAUUACGAUUUCAUCAAGUUUACGAUGUUAAUGAUCAAACAGUACACUUUCUAAACUAACUAAAAUAGUACCUAGCUAGCUAAUUAGAUAACGGAUUAAUGGAAUAGAUGUGGAUGUCUAGUUUUAGAGUUUGAUUUUUUUUUUAAAAUUAAUCAAAGAAAACAUAUUUUUAAUUUUGGGUUAUUGUACUAUUAAUUAAUAAUUUAAUUAAAAAAAUUUAUUUAUUUGCUUUCAUUCUAGUUGUUGAAAAUGCCUUUAAUAGGGGUUGGUUCAAUAUUUGGUUAGACUCUGAUUUCAUGCCGGCGAUCCAACUCCUUCUCUUCAUCCCUCUUUGACCAUUUGCAAUGUACUUGCAUUGCAAAUGUCUGUAGUCAAACUUGGGUCUUCAAUGUACUCACAUCCCUUGGUAGGAUUUCUCUCCUUCAAAGAUUAACGCUCUUUCUUCUCGAGAUGCAAAUGGCUUUUCAAAUUGUCAUUUUUGUUAAUAUAGGUCCUACAUUCAUGGUUUUCCUUAAGAUUUUAUAUCAUCUUAGCUUUAUGCAUUUAAAGAGUGAGAUUUUAUAUCACCUUAGCUUUAUGCAUUUAAUGAGGGAUAGGGUUUACUAUAUCCCCUAAUUAAUUGUGUUAAGUCUAUUUUUUAUAGAGUUGACAUCUUAUGGCAAGUUUGGUAAAUUGAAAUUUUAUUUACUGAAUUUCAUGUAAUAGUGAAAUGGCCCGCCCCGAACCCCAGGGUGAGUCUAUUUAAUCUCAUCAAAACUGGAUUGAUAAUAAUCUAAUUAGUGAAAAUUCUGUCGAAAAUUCGGCAAAGUCUCCUUUAUAAAUAUAACACUCCCAAUCUGAAAAUAUGUAAAACAAGCACUUCCAAAAUAAUUCAAUUUAUAAUAAACUCCAAUGAUCAACAUCCUCAACCAAAAUGCUGAGUGUUUCUCAAGAUAUCUCUAGAGUCUCAAAGGAUAAUAUUAUAAUUAAUAUUAAUAUACCUCAGUUUAUUCUUAAUCCCAAAAGAACAAGAUAACCAGGAUGUCCUAACAAAAAGCAUCUAUAUCUUCUAACACCAUCACGUGGCCAAGACUCAAAAUACUUCUGAAGAGGCAACGUCCCACCAAAAAAAAAAAAAUUUUGAUUUAAUGUGUUACUAACAAUCUAUCCAGGGAAAAAAAAAUUCUUUAAUAGGAUCUAUCGAACUUGACCUGUGUUUAUAUUUCCUUUCAUUUUCCAUAAUUUGUCAUCUAAUGGGUCAAUGAAUUAAUUUGCUUCUUUUUUUGUUCUCCUUUCCCCACUUGUAUUUCCCUUCACGGCCAGUUGACUAUUCUGCAUACUCGAGUGUGUGUCAUUGUCUUGAUGACUUUUCACUACAACUCUAAAAUUAUCACUGUUACUCUUCUUUGUAAACUACGCACUCGAUGGUUGAGCGAUGACGCCUCCACAACUUAAUUAUUCUUAGCCGAGCUGCCAAUGCGCCAAUUUGUAAUGAGCUUUAGCUGAUGGUUUCUGAGAUGGGCUCUAAUUAGUGCACCUAAAAUGUAACAAAUAUCUCACGUUAACAACCCAAAAUUCCAUAAUUUCAUGCAAAAUCAUUCUAGAAGUUAAAAUUAGGUGUUAAUCCGACACAAACACCAGAAAUAUUAAUGAAAUUUGGAUUUACUAAAAUUGGCAUGAUUUUUUAAUUUAGAUCAAUUAAACAUAUUUUUAAUUUUUAUAGUGUCGGAUUCACUAUAAGUCGUCAUAAAUCAUUAUCAACAGACGUUCAAGGCCCGCGGAUAAAGACUCAAGACUAGAAUUAGAAGUCUUCCAGUAUCAAUCAGUCUUAGGUGAUGGCAAGCUCGAUUUCAGUCAAGUGGUUUAGGUCUUUGCAUGUUCUAUGCAUAUGUCGUGUCAGAAAAUUCUUUCUUAGUUCUAAGCCAACUAAAGUUGAAUUCGCCAUAUCAUUAUAAUGGAUGUUAAUGUUGCUAACUUGGAGUCAAAGUCAUGCGUUGAUUGCAUUUGUAUUGUCUAUAUGACUAGGACGUGGCAAAGGCUCAUGGAAUAAAUCUGCUUCUUUUUUCUCCUUUCCGCACUACCACCAGUUGACUUAACUUUUCCUUCACGGCAUGCUGAAUGAGAUCUUCUACUCCAUCAGUGCAUUUAGGAUUCGAUUUCUAAUUUGUCCGAAGUCUCUGCAUUUUCUUGAACUCUCUACUCUUCCUCGUGUAAUUAAGGAGGAUUAAAGUAAAAGAAAAGGGUAGAACCAGAUAUUCCUAUUUGUUGCACUAACUAUCAGAUUUCCAUAUUAUAGUAAUUAUUGGCCAAAAACAUAAUUUUUUAUUUAAAUUGUCAAAAAGACUUGAAUGUUCUCAUCCUAAAAUAAGUUCCGUUAAAACAAUCAUAAUAGUUAUGGAAUGUUUAUAACUAGAAUGAAUGCUCCUACUUAAACUAGUAAAAUCUCUUGAACUAAUUUAAAGGUUCAAUCCUGCUCACAUGAGUAAGGAGAGGAGAGGGGAUUUGUUUAAAUUUUAUUGUAUUGAAUUUCGCACUUUCAAUACUUCUACGUAGUUAUUACGAUUUUAUCAAGUUUACGAUGCUAAUGAUCAAACAGUACACUUUCUAAACUAACUAAAAUAGUACCUAGCUAGCUAAUUAGAUAACGGAUUAAUGGAAUAGAUGUGGAUGUCUAAUUUUUGAGUUUGAAUUUUUUUUAAAAAUUAAUCAAAGAAAACAUAUUUUUAAUUUUGAGUUAUUGUACUAUUAACUAAUAAUUUAAUUGAAAAUUUAUUUAUUUGCUAUCAUUCUAGUUGUUGAAAAUGCCUUUAAUAGGGGUUGGUUCAAUAUUUGGUUGGAGUCUCCGAUUUCAUGGUGGCGGUCCAACUCCUUCUCUUCAUCCCUCUUUGACCAUUUGCAAUGUACUUGCAUUGCAAAUUUCUGUAGUCAAACUUGGGUCUUCAAUGUAGUCACAUCCCUUGGUAGGAUUUCUCUCCUUCAAAGAUUAACGCACUUUCUUCUCGAGAUGCAAAUGGCUUUUCAAAUUGUCAUUUUUUUUAACGUGGGUCCUACAUUCACUAUUAGAAAAAUGGGCUACCAUGACAGAAUUUUUAUGAUAAAUAUUAGAAAAUUAGUCAUUUAUCACAAGAAUGUGAUAGACACAUGAAAGAAUUUUCAUACAUCAUAAAGCCAUGUCAGAUUUGUGAUAGAGUUUUUAUAUAUCAGAUAAACAUGAUAGCAUAUAAAUAUUUAAUCAAACCGUGAGUUUCAGAUGGAAUUAAUUUGGGCAUGAAACGACACCGUUUAACAGAUUUAAAAAAUUUUAAAAAUAAAAAUAUUUAUUUAAUAUUUAAACGCUAUCAUUUAACUAUAUUGACUAAACCACAAAAAAAUUAAGUGUUGGCACCUUUGACUUAUCACUUCAUCAGCAAGGGCUGAGAAACCAAAGCAGUGAAACCCCUCAAAAUCUAAAAUUAACCUAUUUUAAUCUACAAAUUGGUUUUGAAACCCAUUGCAUGGAAACCAAAAUCAUAGUAUAUGCUAUUGAAGGAGCCUUCGUGUCCUUAUUUUAAACCCCCAUUAUUUUGAACCGAUUGGUUUUAGGCACAAAAUCACCACACACGCUCAUUGCUGCGCCUUCGCGUCCAUUAUUGAAGCCGUCGGUGUCACUACUUCUUUGUAUUGUUCAAUCGGCGUUAGAGAAGCCAUCCUGUAAUUGUUUAAUCCCUAGGUUUGUCAUCAAUUAACUUUUUUAAUUUUUAUUCUGAAUAAAUCAAUUGGCCAUUAUAAAAUUAAUUGUUAGUUUUGUUGUUAUCUCCCUUAUUUGUUCAUAAUUUAUGCCCUUUGUUUUGGGAGUUAUAUUAUGAAUGGUUUAUGUUUAUUAUUUAUUUAUUUUAAUUCUUGUUUGUUUCUGUUGUUAUAUAUAUAUUUUUAGUUCAAGAAGCUUAUACUUUGUCCUUUUAUUAAAUCUAGAAAUUGCUCAAUCAUUUAAUUUAGCAUGUCCUCUUCUUUUUUAACAAAAUUUUUUUGUUCUGAAUCGCAAGAUCUCACUGCCCUGUUCGCUUUCAAACUCGAUUUCUAACAUCACGUUUGUUCAAUUUUUUACUUGCCUUUCCGUUCAAUGUUUAAAAAAUGUUUGCUGGUAAUGGUUUGUUUGUUAUAUUCUAUAAUUUUUCAGUCAAAGCUUGCAUGUGUGUGAAGUGAUUUUGGUUGAUGAUAUAGCACUUUUCAUUUACUAGUGUCUUUUAUUAGGAUGAAGCUGAAACUGUGGUCCAAUGGUGUUGGCAUUUUUUUUAAUGAUUGUGAGCCAGAUUUUGUGUAUUUUAUUGAGUUACAAAGUAAGGCCCCCUUUUUCAAUUGUCUUUUUUAUGUUUGAAGGAAGUGGUACCAUGUGGGGGCAAGUUUGGUCAUGUGGACCAAGUAAUGUUUAGUUGCUUAUCUAUAUAUAGUCUUGUGGUCCAUGAAAUGCUGGAUUGUUAGAAUUUUUUUUAAAAUAAAUGUUAAAUGUAUAUAGGCCAAGUUAUUUAGGAUAUUAUUAGUUGGGUAUGGUUAGUCGGUGAUUUUGGUAAAUGAUGAUAGCAUGUUGGUAAAUGAUGAUAGCACAUGAUGACAAGUUUUGUUUUAAACUUAUUUAUUUUAUUAAAUUUAUAAACUGAAUAUUAAUAAUGUUUUGUUGCUUAAUUUAUUGAUAAUGAAAACCGUUUAUCAUUGUUGCCCAUUAGUACAUUAUGUUGAAAUUUAUCUCAAUUAUAUGUCAGGCACUAGACAAAAUAUGGAUAAAUCUUGGCUUAAAUAUGAUAGAUUGUCCGAUGAGUAUAAGGCUAGUGUGGAAAAAUUUAUUAAGACCACAGUUGAAAGUAAUCAAGAAAUUAGUGUUGUUAGGUGUCCAUGUGAUAAAUGUCGGAAUUUAGCAUUUCAUAGGCCUAAAGAAGUGAAAGAUUAUUUAAUUAUAUGGGGUUUUGUUACGUCAUACAAAACAUGGGUUUGGCAUGGGGAAGAUAUCUGUAACAAAUCUCUUGACAAUAUAGGUUGCCAAAAUGACAGUGGAUAUAUGGAUUAUGAUGGUGGUAAUAUUGUUGAAAUGGUUGAAGAUGCUUUUAAGGAUUGUGAUAGUGAUCCUAAAGCAUUCAAAAAACUAUUAGAAGAUUCUGAAAAGCCUUUGUACCUUGGAUUAAACAAAUUUACCCAGUUAUCAGCUUUAGUUAAAUUGUACAAUAUAAAGGGCAGAUAUGGGUGGUCUAAUAGUAGCUUUUCAGAUUUGUCGAGUGCUCUUUCUAACAUGUUACCGGAAGGAAAUGAAUUGCUUGUAUCAAUGUAUGAGGCCAAAAAGACAAUGAGUGCUUUAGGCUUAGAGUUAUAAAAAUUCAUGCUUGUGCAAAUGAUUGUAUACUCUAUAGAAAAGAGUAUGAAAGCCUUUCUAAUUGUCCUACAUGCUGCUUAUAGGAAGGAGGUUCCUGCAAAAGUGUUAUGGUAUUUCCCUUUUAUACCUAGAUUUAGGUGUAUGUUUCAGUCCUCACAAACUGCCAAAGACUUGACUUGACAUGUAAAUGAGAGGGAAAUAGAUAUUAAGCUUCGACAUCCAAUUGACUCACCCGCAUGGAAGUUAGUUGAUGAAAAAUUGCCUACCUUUGCAUUAGAGCCUAGAAAUCUACGUCUUGCCCUAUCAGCUGAUGGCAUUAAUCCUCAUAGCUCUCUUAGUAGUACGUAUAGUUGCUGGCCGAUUCUUCUUGUAACAUACAAUCUUUGAAACAACCCGCCCCGAACCCCCGGGGAUGAGUCUAUCUAAUCUCGCCUAAACGAAUUAAUAAUAAUUAUAAUAUCUAAGAAUUCUACCAAAAAUCUAGCAAAGUCUCAUAUAUAAUUAUGACAUCCCCAAACUUGCAAUUUAUAAAAUUAAACCUGCAAUUUAUAAAAUUAACGCUCCCAAAAAUGAUACAAUAUUCAAUCAACCUCCACAACCAACUUCCUCAAUCAAACACCAAUAUUCUUCAAACAUAUAAUGUCAAGAAUACAAUAAUUUAUCCUUAAUCACAAAUAAAUAAUAAAUUAUACAAUUCAAAAUAUCCCAACAAAACAUCUAUGAUUCCUAACACCAUCAUGUAGUCAUAAUUUCAAAUCUAACUAUCGUUGCUGGGUCGACUGAUGUACCUGCAAAUCUCCUGUGGGGGGAAAAAAUAUAAUAAAAACGGGAUGAAUAUAAAACUCAGUGAGCUCAGUGAGUGGAUAGUAAUUUUUGAAAAAAUAAAUUUAUUUAAAAUGAUUUAAUCUUUCCCAAAUCAAUUUCAUCAAAAAUAUCAUAAGAACUUACAUAAACUUAUUUAAUUCAAAUCAUGCACUGAAAUAACAAUAUUACAUAAAUAUGCGUAAAAUCAAUGAAAUCAUAAUACUUAUGAUAUCAAAUACUGAAUACCAAAAACUAUCACCAAACAAGUACCCAGGAGAAUAAUCUCAUCAUAUUCGGACCUCGACGGACGGGCAAUCAGGGAACCAUCAUGCCUCGGAGUUACAACAGAUAGACGGGGAAAUGUCAUAUCAUAUCUCAUAUAUCUCAUUAUAUCUGUGCAUGCAUAAUCUGGUCCCUAAAUGACAAGGCACCCAAGCACACGGCCCAAAGUCUCUGUGUGUAUUCAGACGGGCCCUAAAGGCCUAUAUCUCAUCUGUAUCAUCAUAUCUCGUCUGUAUCAUCAUAUCUCGUCUGUAUCAUCAUAUCUCAUUUGUAUCAUCUGUAACUCAAUAUUUGUAUCUCUGUAAUCACCAUACUGCAUGCAUAUUCCCCCAAAAGGCAAAAGCGCCCAAACACACGGCCCAAAGCCUCUAUGUGUGUUCAGACGGGCCCCAAAGGCCUCUCAUCUAAUAUCAUAUGUAUCACUGUAUCUGGAGGCGAUGGGUACUGUCCAAUGAUUUUCUAAACAACCUUUUACACACAUGUACAUAAACAUAUAAUCACAUCUGAAUUCGCAUUACCUUUUUAUUCAACAUACUCAAUUCCACUCAAUUCUCUUUAAAACUAUUAUCAUGAAUUUACUCAAAAGCGAUAAUAAAAUCAUUAAUCAAACUCAUUCUUAAUAAUAAUAAAUAUCAGCACGCAGAAAAAAAUCCAUUUUCUAGAAAAUCAUUAAAUCGAAGCAUCAAAUACUUAUUAUCAAAACAUGUUGUAUUGUAUAGUAAAAUCAUAAUAUACUAUAAAAAUAGGUUUUAUAUAUUCCACUCAGAGUGAUGACGUCCAAACUCGGUAUUAACAAUAUUCAUGGGUUGAUUCUCGUGCGCGGGUCCUCCUAAUCAAGAAAAUGACAUAAUCAUUCUCUAUAAAUUUGAAAUAUAACUAAUUUUACAUAAUAAUUCUCGAAACAAAUAUCUAACCACAAUAAACUAUUCCCGCAUGCACAAAAUUACCAAAAUACCCCUAUAUGCCAAAAUUACCAAAAUACCCCUAACAUCAUUAUUUUACAAAAUUAUCCUCAGAAUCUUCAAUUACCAAACUAUCCUCAAUUCAGAUCACAAAAAUAACCACAAUGUCAGAAAAUUACAAAAUUACGUUGGAGUGUAAAAUUACCAAAAUACCCAACAACGUAAAUUAUUGAAUUACCCCCAAAAUCUCAAAUUACCUAAUUGUCCUAGUCCGAAAUUACAAAAUUAUCCACCGAUUCCAAAAAUUACAAAUUUAUCCUCGAAGUUUAUGAAAUUACUGAAUUACCCCCAUCGGUCCACGGUGACCGGAGUUCAGUCAACGCGACGUGAAGCUCAGGUCUAAUAGUUUUGACCACGCUGAGUCCAAUGGUGGUGGCUGUGAGUUCCCACGCACGGUGACAGUGGCGGAUCGAGCUUCCCAAUCUGCGAGCUUUCUGGUGGUCGAUCGGUGGAAUUUCGACCGUUUCAGGAGGCGAGGUUGGUCGGAAAAUGAUAAGGGUUAGGUGAGGAUCAAGAUCCAGGCAGUGGCAUCACCCAAAAUUGGCGGAGUUAACGGUGACGAAAACGGGUUGAGCUGCGGGUUUUCCGAGCUUGAUCACCGGUGUUCUCGUUGUUUUCCAACGACGAGGAAGGUAAGGGUAUGACCAGUGUCUCACAAGCUUUCUAUCCGUACCUUGCUCGGCCGGUGAGGUGGCCAAAAAUGGAAGUUACGAUAGGGUCAGGGUUGCGGGUUUCGGGUCGAAUUCGGGUCAAAAUCGGGUCUAUCUCUCUCCCGCGCCCUCUCACAUCUUUCCUUUUUUUGAAACCGGCUCCCUUCUUUCAAUUUAUAGAAACUAGCUUUUUUUUUUAACUUACUUCGAAUUAAGCCAAUGUCAAACCCGUGUUGAAAUAAAAUCCGACUACACAACCAUUGAAUCGUGUUUGAAAUGUCUCAAUUUUAUGUUGUGACAAAUUUAAAUUUAUUCAAAACACGAUCCAUUUAUUAGCUCGACCCGAAUCCAUUAAUUCAUGGUAAGAAAUCGACCCGCGUCAAGUUUGCUCGUAAUAAUUUGUAGCCAAUCUGAUGACUUUAAAAUUAAUACUAAAAUGAAAAACACAUAAUACACUUAACUAGGAAAAAUUAAGGUGCAUAUAUUAUAAUCCUCCCCCGUAUAAAAAUUUUGUCCUCGAAAUUUACACAUCUGAUGAGAACAGGUGAGGGUAUUGGGCUCGCAUUAAGUCUUCGCGUUCCGAAGUAGCCUCUUCCCUUGUGUGAUUCCUCCACAACACUUUUAAGUUGUAUAUUCUCAUUAGUAUUCUAAACCAAUUCGGGACCAAAAAGCUUUCGCUCACCAACCUCAUCCCAACAUACGGGAGUUCUAUAUUUUUUGCCAUGCAAAGCCUCAUAAGGUGCCAUCUCGAUACUAGCUUGAUAACUGUUAUUAUAAGUAAACUCCAUCAAGGGUAAAUAAAUGUCCCAACUACCCUUAAAUUCCAAAACACAAGCUCGUAACAUAUCCUCCAGGGUUUGAAUAGUACGCUCUGACUGACCAUCAGUCUGUGGAUGAAAAGUUGUCCUAAAAUUCAGCUUGGUGCUUAAUGCCUUUUGCAAGCUUGUCCAGAACUUAGAAGUGAACUGGGAAUCUCUAUCUGAAACAAUAGACACAGGUGCUCCGUAAAGCUGAACCAUCUCGGCCACAAAAAUAUUCCCUAACUUGUCCAUCGAAUAGGUGGUCUUGAAUGGUAAAAAGUGAGCAGAUUUUGUAAGUCGAUCAAAAACCACCCAAACACUAUCAUGACCACCUUGGGUACAUGGAAGUCCCGCUACAAAAUCCAUGGUGAUGUGCUCCCACUUCGACUCAAGGAUCGGAAGCGGUUGCAAAAACCCUGCAGGUCUCUGAUGUUCAGCCUUAAUCUGCUUACAAACUAAACACCAAAAUACAAAUUCUGCUAUCUCUCUCUUCAUAACUUGCCAUCGGUAAUGAUCCCUCAAGGUACGAUAUAUCUUCGUACUACCAGGAUGCAUUGUGUAAGCUGAAUAAUGAGCUUCUUCCAUGAUCUCCUUUUUCAGCUCCUUAAUAUUGGGUACACAAAGUCGAUUACCCAUAACUAAAACUCCAUCAUCUCUCACUACAAAAUCAGUUCGUAAGCCUUUCAGUACAUCCUCUCUUAACUUUAAUAAUUGUAUAUCCUGAUCUUGCAUCUGAUGUACUUUGUCAAUCAAAGUCGGCCUAACUCAAAAAUUAGCUAUCAAAGCUCUGCAAUUUUCAAUAUCCAACUCAACUCCCAAAGAUCUCAGCUCGAUCAAUAAAGGCAUAUAUGUCACUCACAAGUGAGCUAUAGAGCUGGAAGACUUCCUACUUAGCGCAUCAGCUACCACAUUCUCUUUGCCCGGAUGAUAAUCAAUAGUGCAAUCAUAGUCUUUAAUUAGCACAAUCCAUCUCCUCUACCUCAAAUUUAACUCUUUUAGAGUAAACAAAUACUUUAAUCUCUUGUGAUCAGUGAAAAUCUGGCAUGUUGCCCCGUAUAAAUAAUGCCUUCAUAUCUUGAGUGCAAAUACCACUGCUGCCAGCUCUAAAUCAUGAGUUGGGUAGUUUUGUUCAUGCUUUUUAAGUUGUCUAGAAGCAUAAGCCACUACUUUCCCAUAUUGCAUUAGCACACAACCCAAUCCUUGCCUGGAUGCAUCACUGUAUACUACAAACCCUUCAUUACCAGAAGGAAGUGUAAGAACUGGUGCUGAAGUAAGACCUGUCUUGAGUUCUUGAAAACUCUUUUCACAGUCAUCAUCCCACUGGAACUUAGCAUUUUUUUCUAGUUAAUCGUGUCAGAGGAGUAGCAAUCUUAGAGAAUCCCUUGUGCAAAUUUUAUUGAACUCGCAAGUGCACGAAUCUAUUGUAGAAUAUAGUAAUGGUGACGAGUGUCGAUCCCACGAGGAUGUGGAUUUUAAUUAUGUGUAAAAUUAAUUUUCUAAGUGGGUGGUUGGAUUUGUGGUGAAAAUGAUUUGGAAUAUUCUAAAAUUUAAAUUAGAAUGGCGGGAAUAAAUUAAAGCGAAGUCUAUUGAAAUGAAACACUUGGGUAUCUGGAUCUACAUCAACAUGUACCAUGAGCUAAAUAUUCCUUAUUAAUGUCAAUUAAAUCAUAAGGGGGGUUUUCACUUCUCAUGAACCACACUCUAAUCAAUAUGGUUCUAAGGGCUUAUCAUGCCAAAUAGUAAUAACCUUGCACUAGGGAGCCAGUUAUACCAGUGCGGUAUCUAGACAAGAUUAUUACUAUCUGUCGACGAAAAGUCAAAACAUCCACAUAAAUUAGAGGGGAAGAGAAAUAAAUUUACCAAAUCAAACCCAUGGAAUAUAUUGAGACUUCACCUUCAACCCAAGCUUGAAAGAAAAUUAGCUACUCAUAAUUGAAUUAGGGGUAAAAUGAGAAUUUAUUAAAAUACGUAGAAAAUACAAGAUGAAGAAGGAAUUAUAGAAAAUGGAGUUAAAAAAUGAAUUUAGGGGUCUCAAAUUAGGGGGGAGCCCCCUUUUUAUAGAUACACUGAGUAAAUCAUGGCCAUCGGAUUAAAAAUAAUUUGGACGCUCAGAAUUGCGCCACGUGUCAACAGUACGCGGUUUGACCAUGCGGUUUGAAUAGUGACGCGGUGUGAACAGUGAGGCGGCUUGAAUAGUGACACAGUUUAGUUAUAAAUAAUUUCGUGUAUAUGCAUGUACCGUACGCACGAUUUUUGGUCCACUAACAUACUGCCAUGUCACCGAAACAGUACAUAAAAAUUUUAGUCCAAUAGGAUCGUGACACCUCAUCAGUUAAUGUCACGUCAUCGAUCAAUGCCACGUCAUAGUUCCGUAUAUGUGAACAGUGUCGUAAACAGUAAUAUGGACAGUUUCGUACAUGUAAAUAGUGCCAUUUUUUUCUUUUAUGCUCCUCCUAAGAUUUUCGACUGUCCUGAGUUCAAAAGUGUUGUCCGUUUUACUGUCUGAUCUCUCGUUCAUUGUGAAAUGACCAUGAUGCCCCUAAAAUACAUAAAAUACUUAAUUAUAAUACAACACACAUAAUUAAAUCACAAGAGACUUAAAUACAUAAAAGUAGGGAUAUUAGUGAAAUUUGGAGUGUAAAUGACGAUUUUCUCCUAUAUAAAUAUAUAUUUUCUAACACUCAACACACCCCCCAACCAGCUUAUUGCUAGUCCCUAGUAAUUAAAGUGAAAACAAAAUUCAAACCCAAAAUGAUUUUUUUUUAAAAAACUCAUAUUUAUUGAAUCAGACUAAUGAUAGCAAUCAAAUAAAAGUAUAAGCAUUAUCUUUAGUAUAAAGGAAUAUCACUCCCACAUCAACCAUCCACAUGAAUCAGUCAAGUAGACUUUGUCACAGCUACUUUCAAGAAUGAUAUGUGAAACCCCAAAAUCUCAUUGGAAGUAGUGACACUCUCACAAGGAAAUUAAACCCAAUAAAAAUAGUCACUCCAAUGAAUGUUAAAUUUGAGAGAAAAUAAUAAAGAAGUAAUAUCACACGCUCUCACCAAGAUAAAAGAAAUAUGCCCACAACUUAGAAAUAAUACGAUCUUAAGUCAAAUAAAAUGCUAGUCAACCCAAUUUUUUUUUUUAAUGCACCACUACAUCUUUUUAGCUCAUAUAACUAGCUUCUACUUCAGACUAUAGAUCCCUAAAAUAAAGAAGGGCUUUUAUUAGGAUGUAACGUAGUAUAGGAACAUGGUUAACAAAAGAGGGGAAAUAAGGAAAACAAAAUAUAUGUUUGAGAAAAAGUAGAGAGCUUUUGGAAAUUACAAAGUGCAUUUCGCUUAUUUAUUAUUAUUGUUAUUUUUUUCUUUUUCUCUCUUUUUUUUUUGAAACAAAAUUUUUUUGUUUUGUUUUGUCUUUUGUAUGGCACAACUUCACUGAACAAAAUAGUUAUUUACAUUGUUCUCAAACAUAAAUAGGUGAUGAAACUUGUAAGAUAUCAGGUAAUACUCUAAAUCAGAGAUGGUCAAGAGGAUAAGUUGACAAAGAAAUUUUUUUUUUUUUAAUAUAUAUGAAAGGCUCAAAAGGGUUAACUAUGGAUAUUUCACAAAAGGGAUGACUAGAAAAGCUCAAACGGGUCAAAGAUGACCUUUUUAUCAUCUUUUAGGGCUCUAAAUAAUCUUCCAUAUCUACUAGUUAGAUGGACCUUCAGAUGUAGCGACACAUUUUUUUUUCUCUUUUUUUUUUAGAGGAUUGACUCAAAAGAAAUCUAGAGAUCGUGUACAAAAUAAUAAACUGCUAAGCUGUAUGAGGAAUGGGCAAAAAUGGUUACUCUCCAAAAAAAAUGACAGGCUAAAAAAUUCACUUAGUUUUCAUUAUGACAUGUACAUUCCUUCAAGCAACUCAUAUUUGUCUCCGACAUCAACAUGUAGAGUAGCAAACAUGGCGUAACAUCACUUAAGACCAAAGAUAAUACAAAUACUAAAAUUUGAAAGUCAUCAUGUCAUCCAAUGUUAAAAAAAAUCACACAAUUUUUUUUUUUUUUAGGUUCAAACGACAUUCUACCCCCCAACCUAUUCUAAACAUGAAAAUAAAAUAUGCAUGUAGAAAGGUGAAAAUGAUGCAGAAAAACUAAUUAGAAAGGUUACACUUAAAAUGAUAGAAAAAGGAAAUGUUUGAAAUUUUUUUUUUACCUAAGAAGAUGUGUUUCUAGAGUCAUUACACUCAAUAUUCAGCCAUCUUCAAAUCAAAAAUUUGAAAGUAUAUAUUUAUAAAUGAGAAAUUAGAAAAAAGAAGUUAGAAAAAAUUGAUUGUCAAAGCUUAAUAAAGAAAAUGUUUGGAUUUUUUAUUUUUAUUUUUACUUCCAAACCAAGAAGAUGUGUUUCUAGAGUCAUUACACUCCAUAUUCAGCCAUCUUUAACACAAAAAGUUAGUCACGGUUAGUCUCUACAACAAAAAAAAUAAGUAAAAACUUAACCAAGAUUCCACAAUUGUCAACUAUUCCCUCCCCCCAACCAGAAUGAAACAUUGUCCUCAAUGUUUUAAAGGAAAGAAGUAGAGUUUAGAAGACAUUACCUGGGUGGUGCAACACAUAAGAAAAUAUUUACAAGCGGAGAGUUAAAUCUAAUUUACACUUCUUACUGCUGCUACUGUUCCCAUCAUUAUUUGGACACUCCAACACCAAGGUCCUGGGAUCUGGGUCUGGUUGAUAAGCUUGUAACAGAUCAAGUAGCUCAUUAGCAGUAUGAACACAAAUAAAAACGUUUUUCGCUGUGGAAUGAAUGAAAUAGUUUUUUAUUGCAUGGUUAAUAAAUGAGAUGAAGCCAUCAUAAAAAUUAUUGACAUUUAACAAACUAAUCGAUUUUUGGUGAAUGUUCAGAUGGACCCAAGAUGCUAAUGUGAUAAGUGCCUCUAGAGUUGCAAGAUCUCCUGGUAGGAAAAUAAAAGCAUCAAUAUGAUUUAGCAUUUCAUUUAUUCUCUCUUGCAUAACUGAGACUACUAACUCUUCUCCAGUCGGUGAGUCAGACAAACUACGCAAAGGCUUUAAGGCUCUUGGGAUGAUGCCUAACACUUGGCUUCCUCUAACAAAAGCAGCUUCUGAGACCAAUUUUGAUAGCCCUCGGUUACCUCCUCCAUACAAUAAGUGUAAUUUUCUCUCUGUUAUGCUUCGACCAAGAUCUAUGGCUGCCUCAACGAACUCUUUAUGUUUGCCACAGUUAAAUUUAGAAAGCACACAAAUAUUUUUGAAUUGCUUAUUGGGAGUAGCUGCCAUUAGGAUACUUCUAGAAAACAAUGUGUGUGUGCUUAACAAAAAAUCAUUUUUAAAAAUCUUGGUGACAGUGGGUCACAGCUUUGUAUGAGGUAGCAUGUCUGUGUUUAGUAACGCGUAAAGCACAUGGCUCGAGAAUAAAAAAGGAAACAAUAAAAAGGAAAAAAAACAAUGUUAAAAUAAAAUUAUUAAAUACAAUAAUGCAAAUGAUAAAACAACAGUGAAAUAAAACAAUAGUGAAGUAAAAGGAUAUUUACAGGUAGUUGUGACUGUAGCUCACAUCUUCCUCUAGUUUUACGUCUAGAAAUGGCUUGAACGCCCUCUAUGGGUCGAGGAUGGGCUUCCCAUCCAAUUUUCUUAUAAACUGGAAAACAUGGUUAUAAUUAGAUUCCCGAGACUAUAUAGUGCACGCUCUUUCUGGAAUAAUGGCCACAACUGGAGAAUUGCUCCUUGUACAUAUCCACUGGGAUGCGUUUCAAGAGACAAAAGGAUAUCAUCCAAUGAUUAUUUAUUCAAGCCAUCCCUAAUGAAUUGAAUCUUAUAUUCCCUAUUAUUAGACAUCAUUCCUAAAGAACAUCAUUUUUUAUCGCAUCUCAUUCUGGUACACUUAUGACAAGCAACAAAAAGUCUUCGAGCUUUUCGUUUUCUUGUAUUAUUUCCUUUACCACAACCACACAUGUAUGCAAUAAAUUUAGGAGGCAACUCACCUGCCAAUCGUACCUUGGCCUCGAUUAACUAGCGGAUGUCAGCAGGUAUGUUAUUCCUCAUAAGCAAUCGCAUGCGUUCGAACCGAGAUUUAUAGAUUGUAAAGAUUGUGAAGCUUUGCUAAAAUCUUAUUUUUGUCCAUACUUUGCCUUAGAAUAUUAGUUAUUAUGGGAAACUGAAGUAACCGACUUGAUUGUCACGGAGUACUGUUAUUCGCCACUUAACCGGGUAACAAACUAAAGUACACAAACAAAGUAACAAACUAAAACACACAAAGAAAAUUACAAUCAUCCUCUUAUUGAAUUUACCUCAAGCUCCAACUGGAUGUCGAAGAUACCUGCCUCAAUGUCUCUGAGUUGUCUUUCUAAAGCCUCAACAUGAGAUACUAACUCUGGUGGUUGUAGAUCCCAAAUAUGAUGUGUUUUACAAAAUCGAAUCUGGCUUCUGAGAUGAGAUUUUACACAUUCAAGUCGUCUAAGAAGGUCCAAGAGGAUUUGUUUAACUGAGGCACUUAUGCUUAACAAUGAUAAAAUAAAACUUAAUGGUUAAAUAAAUACACUUAUGCAAAAAUAAUUUCAAUUAGCAAAAGAAUAGUAAAAAGAAAGAAAAAAAAAUCAAAUCACCGUAAAGAAAGAAAAAUCUCUAUUCAAAUUUGGUGGGUCACUCAGAUUUAUUUCAGUGUCCUCUCCAUGUUGUUGGUACUCUAGAUAUGCCUUUAAUAUUUGACCAUUAACUUUAAAAGUGACACCGUUCUUUGGAUCCUUAAUUUCAAUUGCUUAAUGUGGAAAAACAGUGUGAAUAAUAAAAUGGCCAGACCAUCGAGAGUGUAACUUACCUUGGAAUAAGUGUAAGCGAGAAUUGAAUAAAAGCACUUUUGACCUGGAGUGAAAGAUUUUCUCAUAAUUUGCUUGUCAUGAAAGACUUUCAUUCGCUGCUUGUAAAUCUUGGCUUUUUCGUAUGCAUCAUUGCGAAUUUCUUCAAGUUCUGCCAGCUGUAAUAUUCUUUCUGAGCUAGCUUGCUACAUGUUAAAGUUGAAUUUCUUGAUGGCCCAGUACGCACGAUGCUCGAGUUCUACAGGUAGGUGGCAAGUUUUUCCAUACACUGGCCUGUAGGGUGACAUCCCAAUCGAGGUCUUGAAAGCCGUUCUAUAUGCCCAUAAUGCAUCAUCGAGUCUUAAUGACCAAUCUUUUCUGUCUGGCUUCACCGUCUUUUCUAAUACGUGUUUUAUUUCUCGAUUAGAGAUCUCAACUUGGCUAUUGGUUUGCCGAUGAUAUGGGGUCGCCACUUUGUGAGUGAUGGAAUAAUUUGUCAAAAGAACUUUGAAUGCUUUGUUACAAAAGUGGGCACCACCAUCACUGAUUAUUGCUCGAGGGAAUCCAAAGCAUGAAACGAUGUUGCUUUUCAAAAAUCCUAUCACCACCUUGUGAUUAUUGGUUCUACAUGGAAUUGCUUCUACUCAUUUUGAUACGUAGUUAACAGCAACCAAUAUGUAUUGAUGGCUAAAAGAAGGGGGAAAGGGUCCCAUGAAGUCGAUACCCCAUACAUUAAAAAUUUCAACCACUAAAAAUGGGUUUAGUGGCAACAUAUUCCUUCGUGUAAUGCUCCCCAUUCGUUGACACCUAUCACAUGAAGAGCAGAAAGUGUAAGCAUAUCGAAAUAUAGUUGGCCAAUAGAAACCACAUUGUAAAACUUUAGUAGUUGUUUUCUUAGCGCUGAAAUGGCCUCCACAAGCUUGUUCAUGAUAGAAUGAAAUUCUUUAUUUCCAUAAAAAAUUUGGCUUUAUCUUGCUUGGUCCAAUGCUCUGGAAGUUGACCUAUAACAAGAUAAUUAACGAUAUCAGAAUACCAUGGUAAUGCUUCCACACUCAUUAAUUAUUCAUCUGGAAGUGAUUUAUUCAAUGGUAAUGGUUCUGUAAUUGUGUUAAAAUUGAGACGAGAGAGAUAGUCAGCCACAACAUUUUCUGUGCCUUUUUUAUCUUUGAAUUCCAAGUCAAAUUCCUGCAAAAGUAACACCCAACGAAUUAGUCUAACUUUUUCAUCUUUCUUUGUGACAAGAUAUUUAAGAGCAACAUGAUCUGUGAAUACAAGUAUUUUACCACCAAUGAGAUAAGAUUGAAAAUUCUCUAAUGCAAACACUACUGUUAAUAUUUCUUUUUCAGUAAUUGAAUAAUUCAACUAUGCAUCAUUCAAUGUCAUACUAGCAUAGUAAAUAAUAUGGGGAUUCGAUCAACUCUGUCCUAAUACUGCUCCUACUACAUAAUCAGAUGCAUCACACAUGAGCUCGAAUGGUAAGCUCCAGUUUGGGGGUUGAAUGAUGGGUGAUGAUAUCAACAAUUGCUUUAGUUUUCUAAAUGCCACAAGACAUGAAUCAUCAAAGAUAAAAUGUACAUCCUUAGCAAGUAGAUUGCAUAAAAGUCUAGAAACUUUGCUAAAAUUCUUAAUGAAACGUCUAUAAAAACCAGCAUGCCCAAGGAAAGAUCUUACUUCUCUAACUGUUUUAGGUGGAGGAAGAAUGGAAAUGAGAUCCACCUUGGCUUUAUCAACCUCAAUACCUUUGUAUGAAAUGAUGUGACCGAGAACAAUACCUUGUUUUACCAUAAAAUGACACUUCUCACAAUUUAAGACCAAGUUUUUCUCUAUACAUCUCUGCAAAACUAGUGUUAGAUGAUGUAAACAUUGAUCGAAUGAAUUACCAAAAAUAGAAAAGUCACCCAUAAAGACUUCAAGGAAUCGUUCAACCAUAUCAGAAAAAAUGCUUAAUAUGCAUCAUUGAAAUGUAGCAGGUGCAUUACAUAAUUCAAAUAGCAUCCUCCUAUAUGCAAAAGUGCCAAAAGGGCACGUGAAAGUGGUCUUCUCUUUAUCUUUUGGUGUUAUAUGAAUCUGAUUAUAUCAUGAGUAGCCAUCUAGAAAGCAAUAAAGUUCAUGGCCUACUAAUCUAUCAAUCAUUUGAUCGAUAAAUGGUAAAAGAAAAUGGUCUUUACAUGUGACAGAAUUCAACUUUCUAUAAUCAAUGCAUACACGCCAUCUUGUAGUCACUCUAGUGGGUAUUAAUUUAUUAUCAGAAUUGGUAACUACUGUGACUUCUGACUUUUUGGAGGACAACUUACACAGGACUGACCCAUGAACUAUUAGAAAUUGGGUAAAUGAUACCUGCAUCUAAUAGCUUAAGGACUUCAGUUCUAACAACUUCCUUCAUGUUAGGGUUCAACCGACGUUGCAUUUCCCUAGUAGGUUUAGCAUUUUCAUCAAGGUGAAUGUAAUGUAUGUAGUCUACUGGGUUUAUACCUUUUAUGUCGGCUAUGGUCCAUCAUAAUGCUCUUUUGUGCUCUUUUAAAACUUCCAACAACUUACCUUUUUGUUCGUCAUUUAGGGAUGAUGAGAUGAUUACUGACAAAGUGUUUUCUUCUCCCAAAAAUGCAUAUUCUAAAGGGUUGGGUAAUUGUUUGAGCUCGAAUUUCGGUGAUGAUUCUAAUGAUGGGUUGAGUUUCUUUUCUGAUGGUGCUAAUUGUUCAACUCUUGACUUCCAUUUAUUAGUAUCUGUUGAUAAAUCUUUUAAUCAAAUGCUAUUGAUGACAAUGUGCAAGUGUACACAACAAGUAAUAAAGUGAUGAAUAUUCAAGAUCAUCUCCAUAGGGAUUGAUGUUACUAGAAAUGUUACAGCAAGCACAAUAGUGCAAUCUAUCUUUAUUCCGGGAUGAACAAAUGUAAAGUUGGUUACUAUUAAAAUUAAUAGUUGUGAGAGAACAAAAUAAAACAAUGCAAUGAUAAAAUAAAUUAAAUAAAAAUGCGUCAAAGAAUCAAAUGAGAAUACGGUAGUUGAAUGAUCAAACUCUCUUUAUGGGCUGACUGUUUUUCACCAAGUUAACACCAGUUGCUACAACAAUUUCUAUAGCACUGGGCAAAAUUUAUUAUGCAUCCUCAGCUGUUGCCUAUUGGAAUCCUCAUAUCCUUAAGUAUCUUAGCAAUGACCAGUUACUAUUCUACCUACGGCAUGACAUUAUGAACAUUCAUUCUCUCCACCCUACAAGGUGAGUACCUAUGUCUAGUUUAUCACAAAUCUUAACUUCAAGUAUGGCCCUUAUGGGAUUCAAGAUAAACUUAAUACAAGAAACUUAAAUUAAGAUCAAGUAUUACUCUAAUAAUAUCCACUAAGACAUGCCAUUUUGCGGCUCUAUCUUAACUUGAACCAUUAAAUGGGUGGUCAACCAAAAUAACAGUUAUAAUAAUAGCUACUAGAGUAAAAUGCUACAGCAAUGAUAUAACAACUCAUAAGAACAGUCAAGAACUCAUUAGAUUGUUUGUCACUCAACUACAAGCAAGUUAAGUUCAUGUUCUUAAAGAGAAAAACAAACAACAACAUAUUGGUCAUGAAAUACAUUAUUUCAGUCAAAGAGUGAAGAAAAGGAUAAGUUGAGAACGGCAAAGAGUGAAUCCAAAUAACUCUGCUAGAUUCUUCAAUGAUGCUGCAUCUGCUCCCUUGAAUUCUGAUCUUCCUCUUCUUUUUCUCUCCAAUUUCUCCAAAUAAUUCCUUGCCGCCGUUUUAUGUGAUGCGCGCCUCCUUUUAUAACUGAAAACUAGAGUAAACAAAAGCUUCGGGCGUACAUGAGUCAAAUUAGAAAACUGCAGAUCGCAAUUCUGCAGCUGACCCGAGCUAAGUUUUCUCCUUCGGUGUUCUAGGAUUGCUACAGCAAUGGUCGCUUCAGUAAUGGCUAUAAUACUGCACUGUUCCCGGUUGUGUUUCACUUCUUUUGUGGCCAUAUUCUUUCUUCUUCUUGCUAGCCUAAUAUCUCAGCAUCCUUUCAUAUAUUAUAAACUUCUGAAAACCUAUAAUUAUGCACAUGUUUUGAGCACAAGUUACUUUAAAUCUAGCAAAACUUAUUAAGACUAAACUAAAAUGGAUGUUUAUGCAAAACAUAACCAAAGUAUAAUAAAAACACAUCAUUUACUCUUUAAGUGGUAUUGAUUUAAGUCUAGAAUUGCCGUAAUAACUCUCUUUUCAUAAAGUUAUCAGUGUCCAUGAAUGGUACUGAGUCAAGUAGGGCGUUGACCUCAUCGACUAAACUGUCAAUAUCAAAAUCCAAACCAAAGUGAAUUAAACAUGUUUGUAAAGGGUCAUCACUAAGGUUUGAAAGAAAAGUAUUAUCAACUAAUGCUUCUAUUAAAUCCACAUCAACAAUUCCAUCAUCUGCAUUGUGAGGUUGUUUGGCAAUGUUGAAGAUGUUUAGCUCCAAAGUCAUGUUGCCAAAGGACAAUUGCAUAUUUCAAGUCCUGCAUUGAAUGUGAGUAUUGACAGUUGCCAAGAAAGGUCGACCUAGGAUAAUGGGGAUGUGCUUCCUUGAAUCCUGGAUUGGUUGAGUGUCAAUUACAAUGAAAUCAACAGGAAAAUAAAACUUCUCUACCUGGAUAAGCACGUCCUCCACAAUACCACAAAGUAUUUUCAUGAACCGAUCUGCAAGCUGUAACACCACUGGAGUUUGGUGUAAUUCUCCCAGUCCAAGUUUUAUAAAUACUGAAUAGGGUAACAGAUUUACACUAGCUCAUAAAUCCAACAAAGCAUUCUUAAUUAUGUGGUUCCCUAUACUACAUGAGAUAGUGAGGGAGCCUGUGUCUUUGUAUUUUAGAGUAAUUUUGUGUUGGAGUAUAGAACUAACGUUUUCUGUUAAAAAGACCUUCUUUUGAACAUGAAUAUUUCUCUUUUUAGUACAAAGGUCUUUAAGAAACUUGGCAUAAAAUGACACUUAUUUUAUAGCAUCAAGUAAAUGGAUGUUAACACUUACUUGUUUGAAGAUUUCAAAAAUCUCACCUGUGGAUUUUCCCUUCUUUCCUUUAGCUAACUUCUGAGGAAAUUGAGCUUUAGGAACGUAUUCUCGCGGGUUGGUUUCUUCUUUCUCCUCCGAUAAUGAGUCUUCAACAUUUACAGGUACAAUUUGAUUUUUUUUUGUCACCAGCAUCUCCACUUUGUUGUUGACUUCUUUUCAUUUUCGCAAGGUCAUGACGGCUUUUACCUCUCUAUUCUGCCAUGGUGAACUGGUACUUGCUUCAUGCACUUCUUUAGGAUUAGGCACUGGUUGACUUGGAAAUUUAUCUUUCUCAACAGUUAUUGCCAGAGUUUGAACUGACAAGGCAAGUUGUCCCACCAUCUUCUCGAGGUUUGAAACUGAUUGGACUGUGAAUUGAAGCCUACUCUCAUUUCAUUUUGUAGUUCAUCAAAGGUGUGGUUCUGUUGCUCAAUCGUGGAGUGAGUAAGAUUCUCAAAAUUUUGGAUUGCAUCCUCCCAUGGUCUGGGUUGAGAGUAGUUCUGGUUAUGAUUGUAUGAUCUAAAUAGUGGCUGAGAGACUUGAGGAACUUGAGGAAUUGGUUGCAUUGGUAGAGCUGGAGCUACUGGUCCAAUCUGUUGGAAUCCCCGGCAACGGCGCCAAAAACUUGUUGUGCAAAUUUUAUUGAACACGCAAGUGCGCAAAUCUAUUGUAGAAUAGAUUAAUGGUGACGAGUGUCAGUCCCACGAGGAUGUUGAUUUUAAUUAUGUCUAAAAUUAAUUUUCUAAGUGGGUGGUUGGAUUUGUGGUGAAAAUGAUUUGGAAUAUUCUAAAAUUUAAAUUAGAAUGGCGGGAAUAAAUUAAAGCGAAAUAUAUUGAAAUGAAGCACUUGGGUGUCUAGAUCUACAUCAACAUGUACCAUGGGCUAAAUAUUCUUUAAUAAUGCCAAUUAAAUCAUGAGGGGGUUUUCCACUCCUCAUGAAUCACACUCUAAUCAAUAUGGUGCUAAGGGCUUAUCAUGCCAAAUAGUAAUAACAUUGCACUAGGAAGCCGGUUAUACCAAUGCGGUAUCUAGAUAAGAUUAUUACUAUCUGUCGACAAAAAGUCAAAACAUCCACAUAAAUUAGAGGGAAAGAGAAAGUAAAUUUACCAAAUAAAGCCCAUGGAACAUGUUAAGACUUCACCUUCAACCCAAGCUUUAAAGGAAAAUUGGCUACUCAUAAUUGAACUAGGAGUAAAAUGGAAAUUUAUUAAAACACGUAGAAAAUACAAGAUGGAGAAGGAAUUACAGAAAAUAGAGCUAAAAAAUGAAUUCAAGGGUCUCAAAUUAGAGGGGGGGGAGCCCUCUUUUUAUAGAUAUACUGAUUAAAUCAUGGCCAUUGGAUUAAAAACAAUUUGGACGCUCAGGAUUGUGCCACGUGUCAACAGUACGCGGUUUGACUACAUGGUUUGAAUAGUGACGCGGCUUGGUUAUAAAUAAUUCCGUGUAUUUGCAUGUAAUGUACGCACGAUUUUUGGUCCACUAACACGCUGCCACGUCACCGAUCAAUAGUAGAUAAGAAUUUUAGUCCAAUAGGAUCGUGACACCUCAUCAGUCAAUGUCACGUCAUCGGUCAAUACCACAUCAUCAUUCCGUAUAUGUGAACAGUGUCGUGAACAGUAACAUGGACAGUACCGUACAUGUGAAUAAUGUCAUAUUUUAUUUUAUGGUCCUCCUAAGAUUUUCGACUGUCUUGAGUUCAAAAGUGAUGUCUGUUUUGCUAUUUGAUCUCUCGUUCAUUGUGAAAUGACCGUGAUGCCCCUAAAAUACAUAAAAUACUUAAUUAUAAUACAACACACAUAAUUAAAUCACAAGAGACUUAAAUACAUAAAAGUAGAGAUGUAAGUGAAACUUGGAGUGUAAAAUGACGAUUUUCUCCUUUAUACAUAUACACUUUCUAACACUCAACAUCCAUCUACAAAUCUACAAUAAUAACCAGCCAAUCCAAGGAAACUCCGAACCUCUGUGACAUUUGUAGGUCGUUCCCAAUUCACAACAACUUCGAUCUUGUGAGGAUCGACAUAAAUUCCUUCAGCUGAUAUCACAUGGCGCAGAAAUACUACUUUAUCCAACCAGAACUCACACUUGUUGAACUUGGCGUACAAUUGCUUUUACCUUAAAGUCUGCAAAACAGUUCGCAAAUGUUCUGCAUGUUCCUCUUGGUUUCGAGAAUACACCAAAAUAUCAUCAAUGAACACAAUCACAAACCUACCCAGAUAAGGGCGAAACACCCUAUUUAUAAGAUCCAUAAAAGCUGCUGGAGCAUUUGUUAACCCAAAUGGCAUCACCAAGAACCCAUAGUGUCCAUAAUGGGUUCUGAAUGUUGUUUUAGGUGCAUCGACCUCUUUAAUUCUAAGCUGAUGAUAUCCCGAGCGCAAAUCAAUCUUAGAAAACACCUUCGCUCCCUGAAGUUGAUCAAACAAGUAAUCAAUAUGCGUAAGUUGAUAUUUAUUACGUACUGUAACUUUAUUCAACUGCCUAUAGUCAAUGCAGAGUCUAAGAGUACAAUUUUUUUUCUUAACAAACAAAGCUGGAGCUCCCCAUGGAGACACACUAGGUCUAAUAAACCCUUUAUCUACCAAUUCUUGCAGUUGAAUCUUAAGUUCCUUUAGUUCAGCUGGAGCCAUCCUAUACGGUGCUAUAGAUAUAGGAGUCGUCCCAAGGACUAAAUCAAUAGAAAACUCAAUCUCUCUGUUAGGUGGCAUCCUUGGAAGUUCAUCUGGAAAUACAUCUGGAAACUCCUGGACUACUGGAAUAUCCUCCAAUCUCGACUCUCGAAUUUCAGUGUUUAUCACAUGUGCAAGAUAAGUUGAGCAACCUUUUCUUAGUAACCGUCUUGCACCAAUGGCCGAUAUGACACAUGAGGGUAAAACGCUACGCUCACAACAAAAUUUCACCUCAGCUUCUCCUGCCUUAUUGAACACAACUUCUUUUUUGGAACAAUCCACAGUAGCAUGGUGAGAUGCAAGCCAAUCCAUGCCCAAAAUGGCAUCGAAAUCUCGAAUAUCUAAAAUAAUUAAAUUUUCUGACACGACUCAAAAGUGUAUUACUCCCAAGUAUAAGAUUGUCUAGUUACAAUAUAACCCAGUGAGUCCGGGGUCGAACCACAGGGAAUUUUAAAAUCUAGUUGUCAAUUUGUUAAACAAAGAAAAUAAAUUGUGGGAAAAUAAAUUAUUUGAAAACAAUUUAAAAAUAUGCUAAGGUUACGGGAUCCACUCUCAGUAUUCAAACUAUAAUUUUAAUACUCUCUCAUUUAUAUUUUGCCUCACUUUUACCAGUUAAUUAUUAUAUCAUUUAAUUCUAUGUGUGUGGAUAAAUAUGGAAUAAAGUACCUAAUGUGCCACACUAUAUUAAUGUGUCAAUAUUGUGUCAAAAUGCCAUACAAAUCCUAAAGAAAUUUAUAAAUUAACAUGACAUAAAAAUAACUAGAAAAGAACAAAAUAAACUUUAAAACUCAUUUGAGAAAAUAAUAAAUUUAAUAGUUUGAAACAUUGAACUUCACCCUUCACCUCAGCUUAAUAAAAUUAGCCACUCAUAUUGAAAGAAAACACAACACUAUUUAUUUGAUAAACUUUUAAAAUAUGUUAUAAGAAAGUUGAUUACAACAAAAGAAGAAAAAGACACAAUUUCUCAGUUGCACUCUAUUCUAUUUCGGCUUAAUGUUGCGGACCGCCCAAUUCGCUAGCCCAAUUGCCCACAAUUUCGGGCUAGAGAGCCAACACAAGGCCAAGAGUGCUAGCUUGGCCCAAUUCCGGAAACUUCUAGGCAACUCUAGCACAUUUGAGCUUGUAAAUACUCUAGAAUUCUUCAUAGAAUUCCAGCACAUGUAAAUAGCUAGGAAAUGGUAGAAUUCUCUAGAAUUUCUAGAGCUUGGCAAGCCUCCCCUAUAAAUAUGGGAUGGCAUUAGGCAUUUGUAUCCAACAAACACUACAACAAGCAUUGUAAUCUCUCUUUGUGCAAUACAAUUUCUCUUAUUCAGCUCCAUUGCUUUCUUCUCUAGUUCGAGAAGCUCUAGGCUUACUUAGCAACAUUCGGAAAAAUUGUCUAAGUGCCGCACAGGUUAGCUGCGCAAAAUACUCAUCUCGUGACAAGUGGUAUCAGAGCUAAGGUUUGCACACACGCAAGUUAGCUCACGAGCAAUGGCCAACCCUUCGAACGUAGCACAAGAGGGUGUUGUUGGUGUGGAUGUUCCACCGGAACCAAGCCGCGGCCGAGAGGGAGAACGCGCCCAAGGCAAGACUCGCAGCAAGUCCAAGGCCCCAUCCGUGGAUGCAUUGGAGCCUCGUGUGACUACUCUCGAAAUCGCUUUGUCCACCGCUCAAGAUAGCCUCGAGGGAUUGGAGGAAAGGGUGGACGGUCUCGAGGGGGAAUACGCCGAGUUCACGGUGGCAACCAAAGCUCUCAUCCAAGAGCAAGCGAACACUCUCCGAGGUGAGUUUCGUUCCUUCCACGAUGAGUUGCUCAAACUUCGUAGUUUUGUUCAGGAUGAACUACGCGCUGUCCGUGCGGAAGUGGAUGAAGUCCGCUCGGAUUGGGCAUGGCACAAGCGCACACUCUCCGCUAGUCCAGCUUCCGCAAACUCGAGUGAUGCACGCCGCAUUGACGUGCCAAAGCCCGACACAUACGAUGGCACACGUAAUGCCACCAUCGUGGAUAACUUUCUAUUUGGGCUUGAUCAAUACUUUGAUGCCAUGGGUGUUCGAGAUGAGGCUUCGAAAGUGGGCACUGCACCCACCUAUCUUAGAGGCGCUGCACAACUAUGGUGGUGUCGCAAGCAUGGCGAGAUGGGCAAGGGCAUUUGCACCAUCGACACUUGGGCUGACUUCAAGCAAGAACUCCGAAAGCAGUUCGCCCCAAGCAAUGCGGAGAAGGAAGCGCGAGCGCGCUUACGUCGCCUCAAACAAACAAGUAGCAUUCGGGACUACAUCAACGAGUUCACUACCCUUAUGUUGGAAAUAAGCGACAUGUUCGACAAAGAUUCACUCUUCUACUUCCAAGAUGGCCUCAAGGAUUGGGCCAAGACCGAGCUUGAUAGGCGUGAUGUUCAGACACUUGACGAUGCCAUCGCCGUUGCGGAAUCGCUCACCGAAUACUCUACCCAAUCCAAGGACAAAAAGGCCAACCAAGGCAAAGGUGGGGGAGAGAGUCGCAAGGACAAGGGUAACAACCGCAAAGAUUGGGGGGCAGAAAAAGCCGCCUAGCAACAAGAGCGGGCAAGGAAAAUCGGAGGGCAAGAAGGAGGCGCCAAAGCCGCGAAGCCCAUGCUUCAUAUGCAAUGGUCCUCAUUGGGUACGCGACUGUCCGGAGAAAAGGUCGCUCAAUGCUCUUUCUGCCCAACUUAAGAGCAACCCCACAAUGUCCACGGAGGAACCCCAACUCAACAUGGGUUCUCUCUAACGCCUCGGCGCACUCAAUCGCCAACAGCCCGCACUCAUCAAGAAAGGGCUCAUGUAUGUAAGCGCAAAGGUAAACGGUCAGUCCGUUCGCGCGCUGCUAGACACGGGAGCUACGCACAAUUUCGUGUCCGUAGACGAAGCCAAGCGCUUAGGCCUCAAGACCACCAAGGAAGGAGGCACGAUGAAGGCUGUGAACUCACCCGCCAAGCCAAUUGGGGGAAUCGCACAAGGCGUGUACAUUACACUUGGUACGUGGAGCGGGAAGCUUGACUUCUCCAUUGUGCCCAUGGAUGACUUCAAGAUGGUCCUCGGCAUGGAAUUCUUCAACCAAGUCCAUGCCUUCCCGCUGCUCGCUACAAACUCCCUAAGCAUCCUCGACGGGAGCAAAGCAUGCAUGGUACCCACGGAGCGAGGCAAGUCCGAGGAGAAGACACUCUCCGCCAUGCAAUUCAAAAGGGCUUUUAAGAAGGACCCAAGCUUCUUGGUCUCCAUCCGGGAACUAAACGAGGAAGGAAAUAGCGGAACGUCACCAAGCCAAGUCCCUCCGCGAAUUCAAGCCGUCCUCAAUGAGUACAAGGACGUGAUGCCUCCAGAACUUCCGAAGAAGCUCCCACCUCGACGAGAGGUAAAUCAUGCGAUCGAGAUGGAACAAUGUGCGAAGCCACCAGCCUUGGCGCCCUACCGCAUGGCGCCACCCGAAUUAGAGGAGUUGCGGAGACAACUCAAAGACUUGCUGGACGCAGGCUACAUUCGCCCCUCAAAGGCCCCAUUCGGUGCACCCGUGCUCUUCCAAAAGAAAAAGGAUGGAUCGCUGCGGAUGUGCAUAGACUAUAGAGCGCUCAACAAGAUCACCAUCAAGAACAAGUAUCCAAUUCCCUUGAUCGCGGACUUGUUUGACUAGCUUGGCAAAGCGCGGUACUUCACCAAACUUGACUUGCGCUCCGGGUACUACCAAGUGCGCAUCGCCAAGGGAGACGAACCGAAGACAGCGUGCACAACAAGGGACGGGUCUUUUGAAUUCCUUGUGAUGCCUUUUGGCCUUACUAAUGCACCCGCCACAUUUUGCACGCUCAUGAACAAGGUGCUCCAACCAUUUCUUGACCGCUUCGUGGUCGUGUACUUGGACGACAUAGUGGUGUAUAACACCACGCUCGAGGAUCAUGCCCAACACUUGCGACAAGUCCUCCAAGUACUCCGAGACAACGAGCUCUUCCUCAAAUUGGAGAAGUGCUCAUUUGCUCAACAAGAAGUGGAGUUCCUUGGCCAUAAGAUUGCGGGCGGAAAGAUCAUGAUGGAGAACGUCAAAGUAAAAGCCAUCCUCGAUUGGGAGCCUCCCUCGAAAGUGCCCGAGCUUCGCUCAUUCCUUGGGCUGGUGAAUUACUACCGCCGCUUCAUCAAGGGCUAUUCGGCCAAGGCGGCACUCUUGACGGAUAUGCUCAAGAAAAACAGAACGUGGCAUUGGUCCGAAGAGUGCCAACGCGCAUUCGAAGAGUUGAAGAAGGCAAUUUCGGAGGAACCCGCCCUCGCUCUUCCGGACCACACUAAACCCUUUGAAGUCCAAACGGAUGCCUCGGAUUUCGCCGUAGGAGGAGUCCUUAUGCAAGAAGGCCACCCCAUAGCGUUCGAGAGUCGAAAGCUAAAUGACACGGAACGCCGCUACACGGUGCAAGAAAAGGAGAUGACCGCAAUCAUACAUUGCUUGCGGGUGUGGCGACAUUACUUGCUCGGCUCUCACUUCACGAUUAUGACAGACAACGUGGUGACAAGCUACUUCCAAACACAAAAGAAGUUGAGUCCGAAGCAAGUACGGUGGCAAGAUUUCCUUGCAGAAUUCGACUAUCAGCUCGAGUACAAACCGGGUAAAGCCAAUGUCGUUGCGGACGCUCUAAGCCGCAAGGCCGAAUUGGUGACACUUAGCAUGAGCCAACCGAAGUCCGACCUUGUCUCACGCAUCAAGGAAGGCCUCCAACAAGAUCCGCUAGCAAAGGACUUGCUGGAGAAGGUGCUCGAGAGAAAGACAAGGCACUUUUGGCAAGAGGAAGGCAUCCUCCUCACCAAGGGAGACCAGCUGUUUGUGCCAAGGUGGGGAAGGAAGUAAUCAAGGAGUGCCAUGACUCCAAGUGGGCUGGUCACCCAGGAAUCGAGCACACCACUGCACUAGUUCAAGCCUCAUAUUUUUGGCCACACAUGAGGGACGACAUCGAGGCAUAUGUGCGAACUUGUCUUGUGUGCCAACAAGACAAAGUGGAUCAUCAACUACCAGCGGGAUUGUUGGAGCCGCUACCACUAGCAACAAGGCCAUGGGAAAGUGUCUCCAUGGACUUCAUCACAUCGCUGCCCAAGUCCGAAGGUUACGGUAGCAUCAUGGUCGUUGUCGACCGAUACAGCAAGUAUGCCACAUUCAUUGCCGCACCAAUCAAUUGCAAAGCGGACGAGGCAGCCCGCCUAUUCGUCAAGCACAUUGUGAAGCUUUGGGGAGUUCCGAAGAGCAUUGUGAGCGACCGAGACCCUCGGUUCACUGGGCGUUUUUGGACAAAACUCUUCAAAAUGUUGGAGACCGAUCUCAAGUUCUCAACAAGCUUUCACCUACAAACGGAUGGGCAGACCGAGCGCAUCAAUGGCCUCCUCGAGAUGUACUUGAGGCAUUAUGUGAGCGCUCAUCAGCGGGAUUGGGCAAAGCUACUCGACAUCGCCCAAUUUUCUUAUAACUUGCAGCGAAGUGAGGCUACGGGCAAGAGUCCAUUUGAGAUCAUCAUGGGAUUCCAGCCUAUGACCCCCAAUGCCAUAGCCUCGACUUACGGAGGGAAAAGCCCCGCGGCACACAAGCUCGCUCGCGAAUGGCACGAGGAAGCGGACAUCACGCGAGCCUACCUUGACAAAGCCGCGAGGAAAAUGAAGAAAUGGGCGGAUACAAGGAGACGACAUGUUGAGUACAAGGAAGGUGAUCAAGUCAUGAUCAACCUCCUACCCCAACAAUUCAAGACGUUGCGGAAAGUCCACAAGGGGUUAGUGAGGCACUACGAGGGACCCUUCCGAGUUGUUCGACAUGUGGGCAACGUCUCGUAUCAACUCCAACUUCCGCCAAGACUCAAGAUCCAUCCGGUCUUCCAUGUGAGCCUUCUCAAGCCAUAUCACGAAGACAUGGGAGAACCAAGUCGCGGAGAAUCGAGGCGCGCGCCAACUGCCGUUGUCACCGCGUUCGACAAAGAUGUAGACUACAUCAUUGCGGACCGCAUGGUUUCGAGGAGAGGCGUGCCAGCACAUAGCGAGUACUUGGUGAAGUGGAAAAAGCUCCCCGAGAACGAAGCCACUUGGGAACGUGAAGAAGAUUUGUGGCAAUUCGCUGAGCACAUCCAGAGGUUCAAGCACGAGAGCGCGACGAGGACAUCGCGAGCUUAGGUGGGGGAGGAUGUUGCGGACCGCCCAAUUUGCUGGCCCAAUUGCCCACAAUUUCGGGCUAAAGAGCCAACACAAGGCCAAGAGUGCUAGCUUGGCCCAAUUCCGGAAACUUCUAGGCAACUCUAGCACAUUUGAGCAUGUAAAUACUCUAGAAUUCUUCAUAGAAUUCCAGCACAUGUAAAUAGCUAGGAAAUGGUAGAAUUCUCUAGAAUUUCUAGAACUUGGCAAGCCUCCCCUAUAAAUAUGGGAUGGCAUUAGGCAUUUGUAUCCAACAAACACUACAACAAGCAUUGUAAUCUCUCUUUGUGCAAUACAAUUUCUCUUAUUCGGCUCCAUUGCUUUCUUCUCUAGUUCGAGAAGCUCUAGGCUUACUUAGCAACAUUCGGCAAAGUUGUCUAAGUGCCGCACGGGUUAGCUGCGCAAAAUACUCAUCCCGUGACAUUAAGCUCUCUCUGUUCAGCUCUCUAACUUCUCAAUACUCAGCUCUUUGCAUUUCCUUGCCUUUUAUAGGCAAGGAAUGCAUUAUCUUUAUUUAUUUUAUUAUUAUUAUUAUAUAUAUGUACAUUGAAAUGUGUAAUGGUCAAGUGGCCAUGACCAUCACGAGAAACUAAAUUGCUUGGUUUUUUUUUUUUAUUCAUUUUCAUUUUUUUAUUUUUUAUUUUUUUACAUCUCCUCAAUAAUGCUUCCAAAUUGCUCCAGCAAUCCUUCUUUGUUCCCGCUUUCAAUUCUAAUUUAUUCUUGAAAAAUAUUUAUAAGAUAAAAAUUAACAGAUUAUGAAUUAAUUUAACACAAAAAUUUAUUUGGGGAGCAUUCAUAUAAUUUAUAGGUUAUGCGUGCAUUAAUCAACACUUUAAGUGAAAAACUAAUAAUUUUAUCCUUAUUACACGUACACAUUUUAGUGUUAAUCACAGCCCCCUCCCCAACCAGCUUAUUGUUAGGCCCUAGCAAUUUAAGCGAUAAAAAUUUAGAGAAAUUUCAAAACCAAAUUGAAAAUCUUUUUUUUUUUUUGGAAAAAUUGUGUUUACUUCUUUCAUCAGAUUAAUGACAACAAUCAAAUAAAAGUAUAAGUAUUAUCUUCAGCCUAAAGAAAAUCACACCCACAUAAAUCAGUUAAGUAAAAUCAUGUAAAAUGAUCAAUUAUCAGAGCUACAUUAAUCAAGCCACUUUAAGUAAAAUUUAUGAUGUUAUCAUUAUUAAUGUUUGGUCCACAACAGCGCGAUAAUGAUAUUGAUGUGUACUUGGCACCACUAAUAGAGGACUUGCAAACUCUAUGGGAUGUUGGUGUGGAAGCUUAUGAUGCCUACAAAAAAAUAGUUCUUUAAUUUACGGGCUGUGCUAUUGUGGACUAUAAAUGGUGGAAAGCUCAAUGAAGAUAUAAUCUAUGAUGAUUUGCGAAAUUAAAGGUCAAUAUAUGUUGUGUGCACUUAUUUAUGCUUCCAAAGAUUACCAAAAAUAAAUUGGAUUUGAGUUUAUAUAGUUUGAGCCCAAAAACUAGCCAUUAUGGAUUUUCUAAUGAUAACCGGCUUGCCGCUUUUGGAAUCCGGUUAGCCGCUUUUAUGUUACCGUUACAACAAAUAUUUGAAUUUUACAACAUCCAGCAUUCCACUUUCAAAAUUCGGUUAGCCUUUUGCAAAAGUGAUUGCUACAGUGAACUAUUUUAUAAAAUUAUAGUUUUGACCCAAAACUUUAUAGAAUUAUGAUAUGGCCCAAAACGUCAUAAAACUUUACACAAAGGUCUAAUAAAAAAUAAUUUGAGCUUUUAAAAACUUAAUCAUUCUUAAUUUUAUUUUUUAUCAUCAAAAUCAACAUUAUGGAAACAUAUAUGUUAACAAUCUUCCCAUUUUUUAUGACGACAAACCUUUUAUGUAUUUAAAGAAUGAUUACACAAAUUGCUCCCCCUAAAUGUAAACUUCUCUUACAAUUUAGCUAAAUUAACAAAUUUAAAUACAUGUAUUCUUCUCCCCCUUCAUCAUUAAAAAGAAAACUUAGUGGAAAAAUAAAAAAGAGUAACAAAUUUGUUAUAUAUGUUGUCCGAGUAGAAAUUUCGAUAGAAUCUCCCUCUAACAACAAACAUUACCUUAAAUACAAGUUUAAUAAUAUUACUCCCAAAUUAUUAUAAAUAAUGAUACAAUCCAACUCCAUAUACAAAUCAUCACACAAUCCAUCAACCAUAAAAAGAUUAUGAACCAUUAUUCCAUCAAUUACCAAAUCAACAACUCAUAACAUAAAAUUAUCAUAUAAAACAACUAUGUAAUCAAAUCAUCAUCAUAUCCCAAAAUCAUCAAAAUCAUCACCAUAAUCACAUAUCAAUCAUCAAAACAAUACUCAAAGUGCAUAUUAUUGUCUUUCUUUUGACAACAUCGAAAUGAUGUGUUACUUUGUCUCCCCCUUUGGACAACAAAAAAAUUCAAAAUGCAUAUUAUCCAAAAUCAUAUUGUAUGCUCCCCCUAAAUAUAUGGCCAAUUUAAAAUUUUAACCAAAAUAAUUUUAUCCAAAAACAUAUCAUAUUUAUCUCCCCCUUCAUUGUAAAAAAGAAAAGAUAGAUAGAUGCAAUCAAAACAAUAUCAUAAAAAAUAAUUCGAUGAAGAGAUUACCCAUUUUGUGCGAGCAAAAAUUUCGGCAGAGUCUCCCCUUAAAAAUGAAAAAAUCCUCAAAUACACAAAAUGGUUAAAAACACUUCCAUAUAAGCUUAAACAAUUAUAACAAAUCAACAACUCCAUCAAUUCAUCAAGCAACACACAUAAUCAUCAAUCAUUAAAAUCAUCAAGAAAUCAAAUCAUCCCAAGUUCGUGUCGAAUUUUUUAAAAAUGUUCUUCGCAAAAAGGUUUUGAUUUGUUUACCAAAUUGGCAUGCAAAAGUUAUAAAAACGUAUUAUAAACUAUCCAAGCUCCAUAAUUACUAAUCACAUUUUAGAAAUCAAGACAACUAAACUCAUCAAAGAUCUAAUGUGACAUUUCAAUAUAACUUAAAAAAUCUUAUAUGCUUAAAAUUCUCGAAGUAAAUGUAUUUUUCUCCUUUUCGAUAUCAUUUAAAACAAGUAAUGCACAUUCAACAAUACAUCGAUAAAGUACAAAAAAUGCAUCCAUUCACCAAUCAUAGAUUGCAUAAGAUCAAACUUCAUCAAAUACAAUGUAAUCAUCAAAGCACAUUCUUUAUCAUCAAAACAUAAGUAAAGCAUAAGUACAUAAUGACAAUAUAUAGAUCAUCAAAAUUAACAUAUGGCAAUAUAUAGAUCAUCAAAAUAAACAUAGCUAUUAAGAAAAGCCAUCAUUAUGAGUAAAGAACAAGUGCUCAAAUCCAUUAUUACAAAUGCUCACAUAGGCCAAUUUAAUGAAUGAUGAUAUAAUACAAUAAAUGACAUAUGAAUUCACACAUACAUAAGUGAUGAACAAAUAAGGAAGAUGAAUAAAUAACACGAAACAUGAUGAUAGACAAUUUAAAAGAUGAAAUCAAGGAUCAUACAAUCAUCAAAAUCAAACAAAGGCAUCAUGAUAAGUUGCCAUACUACCAUCAUAUAUAUCUAUCCAUGCAUCAUGAUUACACACAAUAAUAAUUCAAUUAUGUAAACGUACGAGCAUGCUUUCGUAAAUUCAAGCUAUUAUCCAUCCAUCAUGAUCCAUUCAACCAAAUCAAAAUGGUAAGAAUUGUUACCAAAACAAUUAAAUCAUUUUACUUAUCGUUUUCUCUUAGAUCAUGAUCAAGUGAUUAUUCUCACAAGCUUUCAUUGAAGAACUCUCCACCAUUUCUUGAUUAUGGUACCUACAAAAAAAAAUAUUCUAGUUGUGCCUUUUGAUACCCAAAUACUCUUGGGUCUUUGAGUGUUAGUAAUGAUUCCUUUUGGAACUCCAAUACAUUUUGCUCCAUAAUAUGCAUUUCUUUUAACUGGACACCUAUUCUUCAUGUGACCAUUUUGAUUGCAAUGGUGGCAUACAACUUGAUUGUUAAUGGAGGUACUCUUCACAAAAUAAUUCUUAUAAUACUUUUGUUUCAAAUUUGGCUUAUAGCCAAUACCUCCUUUGUCAAACACACAUUUUUGUGAAUUAAGCAAGUUAUCCAACAUUUUUUGCCCAUUUGUAAAUUUUAAGACAACAUCACUAAGUUCAAUAUUCUUUUUCUUAAGCAUCUCAUUUUCUUUUUUCAAAUCAUCUACAUGUGAUUCUAUAUGUUCAUGUAAAGUGCUAGGUUUCCCAUUUGAUAAUGCAACUCUAUCAUGCAAUGUUUUAUUUUCUAAUUCUAGGCAACUAAUCUUUGCACUUAGAGAUUCAUUUUUAUUUGUGAGUUCUACCGUUUUCUUUUUAAGACAUGCAUUCUUUUUACCAACUUUCAUCAAUUCAUCAUACAAUUCUUUAAGAGCAUCAUAUAACUCAUCAUAAGUAGGAAGAUUAUUUACCUCAUCAAGUUCAUCAUCUCCUAUUGCCAUAAGUGUUAGGUUUGACACUUCUUGGAAAUCUUCUUCAUCACUCGAUUCUUCAUCGCUAUCGUCCCAAGUAGCCACCAUGGCUUUCUUCUUGAGUUUGUUGAGAAGUGGAACACUCCAAUCUUAUAUGGCCAUGCUUUUUGCAUUCAAAACAAACAAUUGCCUUUUUAUUCCCUUUCUCCACCUUAAGGUUUUCUCUCAUGAGAUCUUUAAAGUUUCUUCUCUUGAUUUGCUUUUUAAAGAUCCUUCUAAACAUUCUAGCAAUCAUCUCAAUGCCUUCAUCUUUAAAGUUACUUCCAUCAUCAUCACUUUCAACUAUAGAAGAUUUAAAAGCAAAACUCUUCUUCUUUUUAUCUUCAUCAAUUCUUUCAUUAGUUAUAUCUUCUUCAUAUGAAAUAAGUGAACCAAUAAGAUCAUCAAGUGAUAAAGUAUUAAAACUUUUUGCUUCUUCUAUGUCCGUUCUCUUUGGUCUCCACUAUUUUGGCAAUGAUCUAAUAAUUUUUUUUUUACUUUUUUCACUAUUAGUAAAUAUGUUACCUAGUGCUUCAAGAGAAUUCACAAUAUCGAUGAAUCUAGUGUACAUAUCAUGAACACUCUCAUAUGAUUCCAUUUGAAACAUCUCAUAUUGCCUAGUGAAUCUACUAAUUUUACACUCCUUGACUUGAUUUGUUCCCUUAUAUACAACUUCAAGUUUCUUCCAAAUUUCAUAAGCAUUUUCACAACUAGAAACUCUAUGAAAUUCUUUCUUAUCGAAAGCACAAAAUAAUGCAUUCAUUGCCUUGGAGUUUAACGAUAUCUUUUUCUUUUCUAAUUCACUCCAAUGACUUGAAGGUUUUGGAAUAUCAUCUCAUGCUUCAUUUUUAGUCAUAGGCAUGAACGGACCAUCACAAAUAACUUCCCAAAUUUCGUAAUCUAAGGCUUGCAAAUAAAUUCUCAUCCUAGUUUUCCAAUAAGGAUAGUCAUUACUAUUAAAGAAUGGAGGUCUAGUGGUAGAUGGGCCUUCCAUGAAGGUUGAGCUAAUUUGGGUUGCUAUGGAUCUUUAACUCUAGAAGAUUAAGUCUACACAAGAGCACCUCGCUCUGAUACCAAAUGAAAUACUAACUAGGCAACCUAAGAGGGGGGUGAAUUGGGAUUUUAAAAUUUAAGUUAAGCAAACCACACAACAAUUUAAUCUAAUGCCUUAAUGGAAUAAAAAAUAAUAAAUUCAAUACAGCACAAUAAUAAGAGAGUAAGGGAAGAGAAAACAAACACAAUGAUUUUUAUGUGGUUCGGGAAUCCUCGCCUACGUCCAUGCCUCCAAGCUCACCCGACUUGAGGAUUUCACUAUCCAAGCCUCCCAAGGCUUCAAGUUCUUUACAAUUGACUUUCAAUGUGUCAAUGGACCUUUCCAAUCAAGAGAUUAUCUCUCCAAUCUCUUCACCUCAAGUGUUUCUCACAUUUAUACACUCACAAUUUAAUGUGAAAUGAAAAUUACAACAAACAACUCUCUUUUAGAGUGGAUAUACAAAUGAUAGCUUAAUGAAGAUUUAAUCUAUGAUGAUUUGCAAAAUUAAAGGUCAAUAUAUGUUGUGUGCACUUGUUUAUGAUUGCAAAGAUUACCAAAAAUGAAUUGGAUUUGAGUUUAUAUAGUUUGAGCCUAAAAACUAGACGUUAUGGGUUUUCUAAUGAUAACCGGCUUGCCGUUUUUGGAAUCCGGUUAGCCGUUUUUAUGUUACCGUUACAACAAAUAUUUGAAUUUUACAACAUCCGACAUUCCGUUUCGAAAUCCGGUCAGCCGCUUGCUACAGUGACUGCUACAGUGAACUAUUAUCUAAAAUUAUAGUUUUGACCCAAAACUUUAUAGAAUUACGAUAUGGCCCAAAAUGUCAUAAAACUUUACACAAAGGUCCAAUAAAAAAUAAUUUGAGCUUUUAAAACUUAAUCAUUCUUAAUUUUUUUUGUUAUCAUCAAAAUCAAUAUUAUGGAAACAUGUAUGUUAACUGUGAGCACAUUAAAUGGCUAACGGGUCAUCAUUCACAAAAAGCCAAGAAUGAGAGAUGGUUGAGCAAUGAUCACAACUGCCACUUUUCAACUUGCCUUAAUAAAAAGGUUAAUAAUAUAUGUUCCAUUAUAUAUUCUUUUUAGUAAAUCUAUUGUCAUGUUUAUACAAUUAUUCAUUCAUUAUGAUUAUUAUUAUAUAGGUAUAUGAGAUCAUAGAUGAUGAUGAACAUGUCUCAGACACCUUGAGGUGGUUAUCUCAAGGACCCCGUCCUUUUGUAGUUAAGCACCCAGGAUAUGACAUCAAUGGAUAUCGUUUCCAUACUCGGGAACGAGACCAACAAUGAGUUCAUCAAAAUAAUGGAGUUAGUCUUAUUGCAGCAACUUUACAAGUAGCAAGUGUCAAGGACAAAAAUCCUAUCCUUGGUGACAUGUCUUACUAUGGAGUUAUUAACAAAAUAUGGGACCUUGACUAUCAUAUGUUCAGAAUCCCUUUGUUCAAGUGUGAUUGGGUUCAAAAUAAUGGGGAUGUUAAAAUCGAUGAAUUUGGCAUCGCUUUAGUGGACUUAAAUCGCUUGGGACAUAAAUCAUACCCAUUUAUAUUGGCUUCAAAAGCAACACAGGUCUUUUAUGUCACUGAGCAACUUGAUAAAAGAUGGUCAGUUGUAAGUCAUAUGGAGGUGUUCCAAAAAUGACAAGUGCUGAGGAUAUAGAUAUCAUGAUGGAACAUAAUCCUUUGACCAAUGGGUUACCAACUAUUGAAAAUUUAAAUGAUGCGGACAAAUAUGCAAGAGAUGGCAAGCAUAGAAUCUCGAUUGAUGCUUGGAAAAGCUGAUGGCAUUCACUGCUUGUAUGUCUUAUAAUAGUUUUGUGUUACAUUAUCUUUUAUUAUUAUAUGUUCCUUGUAUUGACUUUAGAUUAUUAUUUUUCAUUAUUUAUACUUUACAUAAUGUUCUAAUAUUAAAUGUGGAUUCAUUGCAGAAGCAACCUUAUGGAUAAAGGAAAAGGACUUGCUGAUGAACACUCUAAUGAGGAAAGUAUUGAUUAAUCGGGUAAUAAAGAAGUUCCUGAUGAAGGUAAUUCAAGUGAUAAGGAGGUUCCUGAUGAGUUUCCUAAUUCAGAGGAUCAAAAUGAUGUUCCAAAGAGUAGUUCCACUGUGAGAGAACCAACUAAAAACUCUGGCAAGAUGAGGAUGAGUGGUGGGAAGAUUGUAGUCAGGUACAAUGGGCUCCUUGUACUUGUUGGCACUGAAUCUACUGAAUUAGCAAGCUUUAUUAGGCUUUAUACUUCUAUUCCGGAUAUUAAACAAGAAUGAAAAAAGGUUACUCCACAUUUAAAGAGCCAUUUGUGGGAGUUUAUAAAGGUAAAAUGAUUAUUCAUAUUUAUAUCUUAGAAUUAAAUAAUGUAUAUGUUAAACUAUUUGAUCAUUAUGCUAUGUAUUUUUCUUAGGAACGUUUUAUUGUUCAUCCAAAUAGUAAGAAGCAAUUUUUUCAAGCACUUGGUAGUGCAUUCAGAAGCUUUAAGUACUUGCUCACCAGAAAGUAUAUCUUGCCACACAAGCACAAACGUAAAAGGUUGAAGAGGCCACAUUUUUCAGUACAGUAAUAUUCCUCAAAAUGUUUGGGAUACAUUUGUGAAUUCUAGAUUGCCCACUGAGUUUGAGGUGAAUACUUUUAAAUGUUAAACAUUUAGGUAUUUCAUAGAACCAUCUCUUAAAUCUAAUUAAGGACUGUUUUAUGCAGAGAAUUAGGCGUCAACAGCAAAAUAAGAGGGCUAAGAACAAGUGGAACCAUCGUUUAAGUAGAAAAGGAUAUGCUGGAUUGCUUGAUGAAAUUGUAAGUAAUAUGAUACUAACUUGACCAUUCUUGUAUAGCUAUUGGUAUAGAGAUGGUUGGUUUGAUGAUGAUAAAUUGGUAAACCUUUUGUUUUAAUUUUCUGCUUAUAAUUUGUGGUUAGUUAAGGAUGCAUACCAGCUGUGACAUUAUUAUUUUUUUAAACUAUAAUGCUCGGAAACUAGACUUGUCGAAACUGAAGUUGACAGGAGUGUAGCAUAGAAGCAUGCUAGGAAGAUGAAAAAGGUGAAUAUGACCCUAAUGUUGAAUCAGUUGUGAAGAAGAUUGUAAGUAAUAGCAAGUUUUUUUUUUUUCAAUUAGGCUCUAUUGGAAAGAAUUUGAUAUUCAUCAAUAUGAUUAUUAUACAAUUAGGAUGCACUGAAGGAGAAAACUAAAAAAAGGAGAAUUUAAAGCAAAUGUAAGAAAUGAUAUUCUUGCAAGUUCAAUUGGAAAGCCUGCCACUUCUGGACAUAUGCAGGGUGUUGGGAAAUUUAUAUCGCCUAAGAUGUACUUUGACACCCCAAAAAAUUCAUUUCAAAUGCGACAAGAGAGACUAAACAUACUAGAGAGGUUAGAUAAGCAAGAAGUAGGGUUGAGUGAUCUGAAGAAGAAGAUUAAAAAGUAACCUCGACAUUCAGAUGUUGGAAGCUCAAACUUUCCAUUACAUGAGCAAACAAUUGAAGAUGAAGCUGAAGAAAUGACUACUCAUAAUGAGGACAAGGUAUGAUACAAAUUGUUAUGCACAAUCAAGUUAAAAAAAUGACUUAAACAUUUGAUUUUAGACAAUUUUAGUCGUAAUCAAAAUCGUAAUUACAAUUUGUUUUUUUUUUUUGGCUUGUUAGUGAAUCGGCAUGACAAGGAAUGGAUCACCUGCAAAGAAGGAGCAUGAAACACUGACAAAGAAAAGGCAAUCACCAAAGAAGAUGAAUGAGUUACCAAAGAAGCAAGUAGCUGUUGAUUGUCCUGGAGACAAACCAGAAAGUACAAAGAAAAAGCAAUCAACAAGGAAGAAGAAGAAAUCACCAAAGCAGCAAGUGAUUGUUGAUUGUCCUAGAGACAAGCCAAAAAGUUUUAAGAAAAUGCAAUCACCAAGAAAGAAGAAAGAAUCACUAAAGCAGUAAGUGAUUGUUAAUUGUCCUAAAGACAAACCAGGCAGUCCAAUGAAAAGGCAAUCACCAAGAAAGAAGAAGGAAUCACCAAUGAAGCCUCACAAGAAACCAAGAAUGACUUUUGAAAUUUCAGGAGACAAACCAUCCAAUCCAAAAAAGAAGACAUCACCAAAAAAAGCCUCAAGAAAAGCCACUGUCAAGAAGAAGAACAAGGAAUUAUCAUACUGUGUAUAUGAACUGAGUUCUUGGGAUUGUAAUAUUUGGAAAUAUUUUUGAAACGAGCAUGGCUCAAAUAGGUUAUUACGUACCUUAUCAGUUGGAUAAAGACCAUUUGGGUUCAUACACACAGGACUCGUAUCAUCAGCCCAUGAUAAGGAUGCCUUUACUACAAGGGUAAAAAGGACACAAUUUAUUGCGGAACAGUUGAACAAAGCAAACAAAGGACAAAUGAUUUUCAUGCCAUAUAACCCUGGGUACAGUUCUAUUUACUUUCCAUUGAUGAUCAUUUACUAAAAUUGAUUCAUAAUUUCAAUUUCUUUGUGUAAUAGUUUCCAUUGGGUGUUGAUUGUAAUUGAUAUGACGACAAAGUAAGCAUUUUAUCUGGAUUCUAUGAACAACGAUUUAGGCGACGACAGUGACCUGAAGGACAUAGUUACCAAGUACGGUGAUAUUGUAUUUCUAAUAUAAUUUUAUAUAUCAUGUUUAUUUACUAACUACAUGUAUUGUAAUGUAGUGGGAUUUCAAUGCAUGUUGCGAUGAUUGGUAAAAAAAGGGUGAAACCAUAUAUCAAAAAAGUUUUGGUAAGCAAUUGUGACUUUUUUUUUUUUUUUUUGCAGCCCAUGACUUGUUAAUAUUUUAUCACUUGAAAGAAUUCAUAUGCAUAUGUAUUAAUGAUUAUUCUGUUGAUGAUAUAGUCCCCAAAUCAACCAGGGAGUACUGAGUAUGGAUACUAUGUGCUGAGGUUUAUAAAAGACAUAAUUGCAGACCCGAGUUUACUUCUCCAUAAUGUAAGUACACAUUCUUUCAUAUGCAUUGUAGGAUUACUUCACUUAUUACCUUUUACUAUAUAUAGUUUACUUUAGUCUGACAUGUGAUCAUCAUUUGACAGUUUAAAGGCAAAUGUGAAUACACUCAUAGUGAGCUUAAUGAAGUGCGUCUCGAGUAUGCUUCCUUUGUGUCUGAGCUGAUAGUAUUAGCAGUAGAGUUGAUGAUGUAUAUUUUUCUGAAGUUCUAAUUAUUAGUGGUAUUAUGGUAGUAUUUUGAAUUUCUAAGUGGUAGUGAAUUUAAUAAAGUCUUUAUGGAAUUUCAAAUUCCUUGUUACUAGAAGAUGAUAUUGUUUUGUUCCAAAACUAAGAUGUUUAUCAGCCUGGUAGUGUAAGAUCUUGAUCAGCCUUGUAGUGUUUCAGAUGAUAUAUAGUGUCGUGAUGUUUUUGUAUGCUGGUAAUGAUCUAGAUGGUAGUGUUGGGAUGUAUUAUUGUGAUAAUUGAAUAGAUGAUGUUUUGACAAUGUUAUGGUUAUUUCAAGUGAUGUUUUGAUGAUAUUGUUGAGAUAAUUUUGAUGUAUUGAUUUUAUACAUAUUUUGAUUUUUAAAUUUCAAUAGAAUUUAUAAAAUUAUAAAAUAAUAAUAUUAAAAAUAUUAUUAUUUAAAAUAUUAAAAUUUAUUUUCUAAUUUAAAAAUAUUAAAAAUUAUUUAAAAUAUUAAAAAUUUCUAAUUUAAAAUAUUAAAAAUUAUUUUAAUAAUAUUAUUAUUUUAAAAAAAUUCUCAUUGUGACACCAUAUUAACAUCAUAAAGCUGCGACACAUAAUUACCUGCCAUAAUUUAAAGUUGAAUUCAUAACACCCACCAAAAGUUUUUUCACAAUAAAACAAAUUUACCACCAAAAUAUUAAAACGACAUCACUUUUUUUGUGACACAUUUGUGAUAGUUAUAAGUUGUCACAUACUCUUGUGAUAGAUAAAUUAAUGUCACAGAUUUAUCACAGGGGCUACAAUGACAAAUAGAAACUCUGUCAUAAAGAGGGUCGGAUGACGGAUAUUCUCUGUCAUGGUAGCCCAUUUUUCUAGUAGUGAUUCAUGAUUUUCUUAAGAUUUUACAUCAUCUUGGCUUUAUGCAUUUAAUGAGUAAGACUUUAUAUCAUCUUAGCUUUAUGCAUUUAAUGAGGGAUAAGGUUUACUAUAUCCCCUAAUUAAUUGUGUUAAUUCUAUUAUUUAUAGAAUUUUCAUUUUAUGGCAAGUCUAAUAAAUUAAAAUUUUAUUUACUGAAUAUCAUGUAAUAGGUUUUAAUUUAUUAAAUUCCUAACUAAUUUAUUGAAAUUCCAAUUUAUUAGGAAUAUCGUUUCCUAGUUUAAUUAGAUGUCUAAUUUAGCAAGUUAAUUAGUGAAUGAAUUUUAUAAUUGGUGCGUAUGAUUUAUUUAGAGGAAAAAAUUGGUUUAAACAGAAAGUUUAUUAAAUGCUCUAGAUAUUUCUUAGAAGACAAGUAAAGCAAGCAUAUCAUAUUUAUUCCUAUUUAGAUUUAUAGGAAUUAUAAGAGGAAAUAAACUUUUAUUUAGAAAGAAUCCUAGUCUUUCAACUACAGUCUUAAUAAAGUUUUUCACAUCAGCCUCAUAGUCAUCAUACAAUAUAUCAAUUUUUUAUGGGUACAAUAUAUCAUAUUUAAGCCAAGAUUUAUCCAUUUUUUGUUUAGUACCUGACAUAUAAUUGACAUAAAUUUCAACAUAAUGUACUAAUGGUUUGCAAUGAUAAAUUGUUUCCAUUAUCAAUAAAAUUAAGCAACAAAACAUUAUUAAUAUUUAGUUUAUAAAUUUAAUGAAAUAAAUAAAUUUAAAACCAAAACUCGUCAUCACGUGCAACAAAUAUAACUUCACCAACGUGCUGUCAUCGUUUACCAAAACCUCUAACUAACAAUACCCACUAAUAACAUCCUAAAUAAUUUAGGCCACAUAUUUUAACAUUUAUUUAAAAAAAAUUUCUAACGAUCCAGCAUUUCAUGGACCACAAGACUAUCCAGCAUUUCAUGGACCACAAGACUAUGUAUACAUAUAUAAGCAACUAAACGUUCCUUGGUCCACAUGACCAAACUUGCCCCCACAUGGUACCAUUUCUUUCAAACAUAAAAAAGACAAUUGAAAAAGGGGUCCUCACUUUUCAACUCAAUAAAAUACACUAGAAAUUAUUAUCAAGUUUCCAAAUCUAACUCACAAUCAUUAAAAAAAAAUAUAUCAACGCCAUUGGACCCUAGUUUUGGAUCCAUCCCAAUAAAACACACUAGUCAAUGAAAAGUGCUAUAUCAUCAAGAAAAAUCAGUUCACAUAUAUGCAAAUUUUGACUGAAAAAUUACACAAUAUAACAACAUUCAGACAAACCAUUGCCAGCAAGCAUUUUUUAAACAUUGAAUGGAAAGGCAAGUAAAGAAUUGAACAAACCUGAUGUUAGAAAUCGAAUUCGAAAGGGAACAAAGCAGUGAAGUCCUGCAACUCAGGAAAAAAAUUAAAAAAAAAAGGACAUACUAAAUUAAAUGAUUGAGCAAUUUCUAGAUUUAAUAAAAGGACAAAGUAUAAGCUUCUUGAAUUAAAAAAAUAACCAAAGAUAACAGAAAAACAAACAAGAAUUAAAAAAAUAAAUAAUAAAGAUAAACCAUUCAUGAUAGAAAUCCCCCCAAAAAAAGGGCAUAAAUUAUGAACAAAUAAGGGAGAUAACAACAAAACUGACAAUUAAUCUUAUAAUGCCCAACUAAUUUAUUCAAAAUAAAAAAUAAAAAAGCUAAUUGACAAUAAAUCUAAGGAUUCGGUAAUUACAAGGAUGGCUUCUUGAUAACUCUAUGAAAUAAGAAUUAUCAUGGCACUUUUAAACUUAAAUCAAUAAUACUUAGAGAGUAAAUAAUGUGUUUUCAUUGCAUUUUUAUUAUAUUUUGCAUAAACAUUCAUCUUAGUUUAUUCGUAAUAAAUAUUUUUUGAUUUAGAAUAAUUUAUAUGCUAAAUCAUAUGCAUAAUUGUAGGUGUCCAGAAGCUCAAAUUUCAAGAAAAGAAUGCUGAUGCAAUAGGCUUGCAAAAGAUGGAAAAUAACUUAGCUACAAAAGAAUUGAAACAAAUCUGGACAAUGCAGUUGCUGUAGCCGUUGCUGUAGCAAUCCUGGAACAACGACAAAGAAAAUUUUGUUCGGGAUACUUGCAGAAUUGCGAUCUGCAGUUUCCUAACCUGACUUAUGUGCGCCCUAGACUUCCGUUUACCCUAAUUUUCAACUAUAAAAAAAGCACACAUCAUAAGGAAUAGGGGGAGCCGUCACCCAAGGAGAAAAACACAUAGAAACAAAAGAAAAACAAGAUUCAAGAGAGAGAUUAAGGGCUGCACAAGAGGAAAAAUUGCAGAGAUCAAUUGGGAGCUCAAUCUUUCUUAUCCUUUUCUUGUUUUCAUGUUCUCUAUUUAUUCAUGGGGAUGUGUUUCAUGGCCGAAACUUUGUUCUUUAUUUUUCUUUUGCAAAUCAUGAACUAAAUUUAUUUGAAUUGUUGGUUUAUUGACUGAAAAUAUGAGUUGUUGCAUGUUUGUUGUAGCAUUUUGUUUUGAUAGCAUUUAUUUUUAUUCAUUAUUUCGGUUGAUCACCCAUUUAAUGAUACAAGUUAGGAGAGAGCCACAAAAGGGCCUAUCUUAGUGGAACAUAUCAGAGAAAUACUUGGUUUUAGAUUGGGUUUACUGGAUUGAGUUUAAUUUAUCCCAAAAGGGCCAUGCUUAAUCUAAAAUUAGUGAUGAACUAGACAUAGGGAUUCACUUUGUAGGGUAAAUAGAACCUAAGCGUGUAAUGUUAUAUCUUAUGUGGGCAUAACAACUGAUCACUGUUAUGUUGCAUAUAGAUAUAAGAUAUCCUACAUGCGAUGGCUGAGGAUACAUAAGGAUUCUACCCAAUGCUGUAGCAACUGAGCCAACCAUUAGAAAAUAGUCAAGACCAUUAGGAGAGUUUAUUCACUCAACUACUCUAUAUUUCCAUUGGUUUUAUCCUUGAGUUUGACGUGAUAAUUUACUUUGUUGCAUUUAUUUAUUGUGUUUUUAUUUUAAUUAGUAUAUUAAUUUCAUUAAUUAUUUUAUCUUAAUUUAAAACAAAAUCUGCACUGUUAAGAUUGUUGUAGCAAGUAUGAUAACAUCAAUCCCUGUAGAGACGAUCUUGAAUACUCAUCACUUUAUUACUUGUUGUGUACACUUGCACAUUGACACUAAUAGCAUUUGAAUUCAUACCAACACUUCUCCACCGCCAAUUAAACAAUGCAAAGAAAUAGUGACAACGAUGACUUCAACAGUGAACGUGUUGAUGGAAGGCGCAACAAUGAGUAUAUAUGGUGAUUUUGUGCUUAAAAAUUUAUAAUGAAGUGGUUGCUUCAAUAGCAUAUACAAUGAUUUUGGUUUCCAUGCAAUGGAUUUCAAAACCAAUUUUUAUAUUAAAGUAGGGCUUGUUAAUUAUGGAUUUUGAGGGGUUUCAAUGGUGAGGUUUCUCAGCCCUCGCCGAUGGAGUGAUGAAGUCAGAGGAGCUGAAGUGUUUAUUAACACUUAGAAUUUUCUUGUAGUUUAAAGUCUAUAGUAAACAACAACGUUUAGAAGUUAAAUAAAUAUUUUUAUUUUUAAAAUUUUUUAAAUUAUGAAAAAUCAACACGGUGCCGUUUCAUGCCCAAAUUGAUAUAUCCUAAACUCACAGUUUCAUUAAAUAUUAAUAUGCUAUCAUAUUUAUAUGAUAAAUAAAAACUCUAUCACAAAUUUGUCAUGCCUUUAUGAUGUAUGAAAAUUCUGUCAUGUGUCUAUCAUAUUCUUGUGAUAAAUGACCAAUUUUCUAAUAUCUAUCACAAAAAUUCUGUCAUGUUAGCCCAUUAUUCUAGUAGUGAGAUAUUUAUCCAACUGGAUUACAAAGUAAUUGAAAUUAAUUGUAACACCUAUGGCCAAAACUUGGACCCAGUGUUAUUUUAUAAUCAAAAUUGAAACCUAUAGUUACAGUCAGCUUGAAUCUGAAUCAAAUGAGCAAAGGGGGGCAAUUGCCUUCUCUAAGCUCUAACCAUGAAACAAUAAUCAAAUCGUCAGACCUCUAAAAUAAGCCAAUGAAACAUUACUCACAAACCCAUCGAUUAACAUCUUUAAAGCUUUGGCACUGAAACUUAAACGAGCGUUUUGUGUUAAAUAGUAUUGAAAGUAAACACAGCAGCAAACUUAAACGAAAAAGUAUUGUCAUUCAUUGUGUGAAAAAUUAUGCGAAAUUCUGAUAUUUUACGUCGAUCUAUCCAAAUCCAAGCAGGAAAAUGAAUGCUCGAGCAAUAUUCAAAUAUCAAAAGAGCAUAUUUUCAAAAUUAAGUUAGGAAAAAAAAUUUCAGUAUCAAUUAUCAUCAACGGGUUCUUGAUGUUAAGAAUAAGCAUUAACAUGAGCUGCUCAGGUCGGCUGAUGAAUCAGCAAGCUGUUAAGCAAUAUGCUGAGUCAUCAGCCACGUCAGCAGUCAGUUACGGAGGCUGUUGCUUUGCUUAAGAAGCCUCUGGAUAUGUAUAUAUAAACCCCUGUAAUCUCAGUUCAUUUUGUAGCUUAAUGAAAUGAAUUUGGCUCACUAUUCUUCUAUCAAAACUUUUAGUAUUUUCCCUUCACUUUCUAGGCAAACAAACACAGCAACAUCUUUUAACUGUUGAAAUCUUCCAGCUCCGGUGCAAGCCUCAGUCACAAUGUAUUCACUCGAUGGCACAUCUUCACCCAGACUUUUCGGUAAAGUGAAUUAAAGCUUUCAGAAUGAUAGAAAGCAAAUGCAUGAGCCACGAAGAUCUGGAAGAAUGCCAAAGCCAAACCCUAAGUAUACUACUGAGAGCAUGAGUUGACUCCCAUGCAAGCCAUGCAUGAGACAUGCAUAUGCAGAUAUUGUGAAGAUAAGUGCUGGAGCCGUGAGAACAUGAGUUGACUCCCAUGCAAGCCAUGCAUGAGACAUGCAUGUGCAGAUAUUGUGAAGAUAAGUGCUGGAGCCGUGAUCUGGGGAUAACCUUAUCAACGAUUGUGCAACGAUUAAAGGGGAAGCUAAGACACGGAAGUUGUUUUCGAUUAUCUUUCUGUUUCGAAAUAUUAGCUAAGUUGUUAUUUUAAUAUUUGUUUUAUUGAUUUCAGCCGUGAUUGUGGGUUGAAAAUCAAAGUCUUGUUAUUAUAAAUAAGCUCCAGAAUAUGAAUAAAGGCAUUGAGAAUUCAAACUACAAUUAUUUGGUUAUUUCUCACCAUAAGCAGAAAAAUAUCACUAGCAUUAUUCGUAAUCAUUGUCUGCAUCUGACUGGGACCUAACACAGAACGAUACAUAAAACUUUAAAUUGUUCCUGUAACACACAGAAAGUCUUUAGUUCGGUAUCGUAAAUUCAAUUUCUUAUAAUCUCAUUAAUAUACUUUUUGAAUUUUAUUGUGAUCUUCAUUAGGCGUCAAUUUUUAUUUUUCAUUUAAAAGAAAAAGCACUUCCGGAGUCAUUGUAAGAUCUUUUUCUGUGUAAAUAUCUUUUUCUUUUAAUUUAAAAUUAGAUAUAUCAAACUUAUUCAUCGGGGUUUUGUUACAUUUCCUUUUAUUUUCAAUAAUUAAUUUGUUAUCUAAUUGGUCAAUAAAUUUGCUUCUUGUUUGUCCAGUACACUAAUAUAGAUGCUGUUCAUUAGAAGCAGACACAUAGCUGUAAAUUAUUUCUUAGGUUUUGAGAUAGGAAUGACGAAGGACAGAUGCAGGGGCACUGUUUUAAGUCAACCAAAGUUAAAGAUGAUUCGAACUCAUAGUUCUUGCAUAAAAACCUUUGUUAGCUUUACUUUUGUUGUCAAAAUUAUUA